ACACUUGUUUCCCACGCAGGCGUGAAGGUUGGCGGAGACCCAGCUUCCAAGGUUGUGUCCUGACCAACACAAAGAUUUCCCAGAGUGCUGGCAGCUUCGAACAGUCUUCGAAGUGCAGCCAACACCCUUUGGCUCAGGCUCCCAGUGUAUGUAUUUCUUCAUGUCAGCUCUGGGAAUAAGCAUUAUUAAAAUCUGCAGGAAUAGAGAAAUUUGCAGGUACUACAGCUGCAUUUUAAAUAUUUAUAAAGACGAGCAUAUAUUAAAGCUGGCUUGGAUUUACUGCUCUGUUUAGGAAAGAGAGCUAUGAAUUAUUUUUAAAUUCUGGUUUAUAACCUACCAGUAGAUCAUUUUCUUCUCUUUAUUUCAAAACAGUUUUUCUCUAUAAAGACAAAUUGAAUACCUUAAUGAAAUCCUCUUGCUCGCAGUGUUUUCCUUUGUGUGGAAUGCUUUCUCUAAGAAAGAAGGAAUUACUGAAGAAAAUGGGUACCUGAUCAUGAAAAAUGUGGUCAGCAAUAUGCUUUUUGUGCUUUUUGUUACUUAUAUUACAAAAUUUAGGAGAGGACACUCAGAAAAAAAAGGACAUGAUAUUCUUUUUGCUUUUCACUCAUUGGCAUAAUAUAGCUUUAACCUGUUAAGGUUAAUCAGUCCCAACAUCAUGGCAAUGUUGAGCCUGCUUACAGUAGCUAACAUUCAUUACCUCCAAUAUCUAUAGUGUGGGAACCUAUAAAUCUUUCCUCGUUGACUUAAUAAUGUGAACACCAGAGAAGAUUGCUUAUGCUGGAAAAACGUUAAGAGUGUUUGGUAUUAUUGUGACAGCCAGGGCCAGAUUAAGGCAUGUGAGGGCCCUAAACACUGAUGAUCUGUGGCGCCCCCACCUCUGUUUUCUCACGCAUUCGAAUGGGAUAUGUGAGUUAUAUAUAUACAUGUACGUGUGUGUGUGUGUCUUAGCUAUCCAGGAUGUAUUAGUGAUUGAAUGCAAAAGUGGUGUAUGCCAUUAAAGCGGAAUGAGAUGAACAGGGUUAUAAAGUUUUUAGUAGAUGUGGGGUACUAAGAUUUUUACUAUAUACCACAUUUUCUACAAAAAGAAUAUUCCACAUAUUCUACAACAAAGAAAAUGAGCCAGUGAACUUAGUUGUUUCAACAAUCAAUGUAAAAUUCCGUUGAUCUUCCACAACGAAAAAUUGACUUUCACCGGUUUUGCUUUAAAUGGCUCAUACUUCAAUUGUGAGUCUUGCUUUGUAAGAAAUGCUAUAAUUAUAGAUGAACAAAUGAAAAGAUAUCAUAAAAUUUAAUGAUCCAAAAACAAUAUUACAACAAAUUACUACAUUUUAUUUUAGAUAGAUCUUUCAUCUCUAACAUGUUAUAAUUAAAAACAUUCCUUUCUGUUCUUUGCUUUUACAAAUUCUUCAAUGAUUUCAUCACAAUUAAGCUGCCAAAUAACAUCUACUUCCAUUCAUAAUAAGGAUAAUGAAUUGAGUCUUUCUUGAAUCGUUGUUGUACACUGAGGGUUUUUGAGUAUCUUUAGGGAUGAAAAUGAGUGUUCAGUUGUACAGUCUGUGAUUGUUAAAGUUAGGAAUAUGUGUAAAGUAAUUUCAACAUUGGGAAAUACCCAUUGUAGUUUUUCUUUUAUUAUGGAAUUAUACAUGCCUACAUGGGUGAAAUUUGUCUUUCCUGAAUCUGUAAAUUUAGUUCUCAUGUAAGAAUGAAAUUGUCACACUUCGUAAAGAUUCGUAUUUAAGUCAUCGGGAUAAACCAAACCAAACUCAUUGCCGUUGAGUCGAUUCCAACUCAUAUCAACCCUAUACGACAGAGUAGAACUGCCCCAUGGGGUUUCCAAGUAGCAGAUGGUGGAUUCAAACUGCCGACUUUUUGGUUAGCAGCCAAGCUCAUUGCCACUGUGCUACCAGGGCUUUGUCCUCUGGAUAAGCCUGCAAUAAUUUCUUGGAUGCCUUCAUGCAUCCACAUUGUUUAAGAAGGAAAAUCUAUCUGAAAGAAUUUUCUACACUUUUGCCCUUCUUUUCAUGCAAGAUUCAUGUGUGUCAGUGAUGGUGUAGUAUGUAGUUAAAAGAAAUUGAUCUCUGGCACGCAACACUUCUGGAGCAUUUCAUUUCUUUCUAGUGCUUCUUUGAUGGUGAACUGCAUGAUAAUCAGUACUUGACAGUGUUUGUUUUGUUGUGUUUUCAAAAUCUUCCAAAUCUUCUUUUAAAGUAUGAAUAUACUCUGUUAAUGACUGGUAGAGAUCUGUGCAUGCUUUUAAAUUUACUUCUGGAUCUUGGAGAGCUUGACUCGUCUGAUGAAAAUGCUGCAAUAUAUUAUUUCACAUAAUCAAUAUAAAUACAUACGCUAGUGUUUGCAUUCUGUUGGAAAUGUUUUUAGCUUCUCUUUUGGUAUCUCCUUUUCUAUCUGAUCUUCAGUAAUAUUUUCUAAGGCAUCUAGAAUCUAAGUGUACAAUUCCAGGAUUGCAGUCAUUGCUACAGCUUGCACUUCCCAACAUGUAUUAAAGAAACAUUUUAAUACUUAAUUAUGGCCUAAAUAUGUUUUAAGAACUGCCGAUUGGUAAGUAGGGAUGGCAAAAAAAAAACGUAGAGUAACUGAACAGUAGAAAAAGAUCAACUGCUUCCAGACAACAAUCUACUGCAGCAUUGUGAGAGAAUUGGCCUCUGUACUUAGAAAAACUAAUUUUGCAAACUUCACGUAAAUAGUGAAGUACUUGAUUUGCAAAUUCUCCACUGUUACAACUUUUAAAGCUACUAAAUGUGAUGAUAGCUCAACAGGUUUUCCAUCUGUUGGAGAUGUGUAUCUUAAAACAUUACUUACCUGAUCUUUAUGCAAAAGAUCAAGAGUAGAAUCUACAAACUGAAAUAUCAAGCUAUACUUAUUUCACUAAAAAUAGCUGAUUGGACUUUAUCACUUAUUAAGUUUGUUCUUCACACAGUGUUUUAGUCAUAUACGAUGGGUUGCUCUUUGCUGUGUUACCGUAUUUUGAGAUGUAACCUGCUAAAAAUGGAUCAAACAAGUUCAACCAGACCCACACAGUUUCCAUUUGGUAGAGACUCAAAUACUUCAUUUCUUCCUUGAUAGAAUAGUCCACAUUCAGUGAUUUUUACAAGGACAGCAACAACAUGUUGCAAAAUGGCUUUCCAGCACUGAUGUUCUUCAUUAAUUUGUGUUUCCAAUUCAUGAGUUAAGCCAAAAUCGUAUCUUCAUUUUGAAUAUGACAACAUACAGUCUCUGUGACUUGAACUGUUUUCAUGUUUAUCAACCAUAUUGGAGUUGUGCAAAUUGCUAAAUCCAUAGCUUAAAGAACCUUGCACAUGGGCACCCUGGUGACCCUGUAUGAACUUUAUUUCUGGCUGGCACAUUCUCACGCACUGAAGCUGGUAUUAACUUCAUUUAAUGCCCUGCCAGUUCCCUUCCCUGCAGUGCUCACUUUUUCUUGUGUCCUGACUGCUUGCCAUCUAUGGAUCUUUGCUUUGGACAACUGGUGCCUCUGUUUUGUUGAUGCUCUAAGCAUGUGCUUACCUUGCUUAUUGGGUAAUCUGUCCCUGGUGAAAGUGUAAAUAUUCAGUCACCUGCUUGAGAGCUUAAAAUAAUGGUCUGAAAUGAUUAAUGGAAAGAAAUCCAAUGAUUUAAUUAGAAGGGGGGUUCAGCUUUAUUUACAGAGUAGAACUAACUAUAGGUGCUGUUUGGGUAAACUAGAACAUUUGAGCUUAGUAAGGAAAAAACUUAAGACUUUCAGUUGGUUUGACCAAGCAUAGCAGCUCAUACAAUCCUCCAGUGGAGUAAAGGGGUGCCCAUCUGAACAGGUAAGGCAUCAUUACUUACAAGCUCAGAGUAAAGCAUCUUUGAAUUAGAACAAUAGUGAUCUAACCUUUGGUAUUUCUGUGUCAGUCUGGUUUUUACCAGUUGCCAUCAAGUCAAUUCUGACUCAUGGCAACCCCGUGCAUAUCAGAGUAGAACUGUACUUCAUAGGGUUUUCAAGCUCUGAUUUUUUGGAAGUAGAUUGCCAGGCCUUUCUUCUGAGGUGCCUCUGGGUGCAUUCUAACCUCCAGACUUUUCAUUAGUAGUCCAGUGCAUUAACAAUGUGCACCACCCAGGAACUCCUCUGGUUUAAGGAUCACCAAAUGUUAAGAUAUCCACUUACCUGGAUCCUCUCUGUGAGUUAUUCUUCCUACUCCCUCCUUAGACUAACUUGUUAAGAGUUCUCUCUGCAGUAUUGCCUACUGUUUACUCAGCUUAAAGAAGUAAUUUCUGAAUGAAACAAAUCCUUCCAAAUUUCUCAGCCUGGUAACUGUGGCCAUUUCUUAUUUAUCACAAUUGUGUAGGGGAAAUUGCAAGGGCCACUUGUUAAAAAACACUGUAAUAUCAUCUAAGAUUUUUAGGAACUGGGGAAUAGUUGUACUCUAUUUAGCUAGCAAAAGGAGCCCUGGUGGCACAACAGUUGGCAGUUCAAAUCCAGUCAGUGGUUCUGUGGGAGAAAUACCUGGCGAUCUGCUACUAUAGAUUACAGCCUAGAAAACUGCAUGAAGCAGUUCUGCUCUGUCACAUGGGAUCACUAUGAGUCAAAAAUCAACUCAGUGGCACUCAACAACAGCAACACUUGGCUGGCAUUCCUUGUUUCCAUGUUACUGUCCUGCAUUGCCUUUUCCUUGCCACCUCCACAUUCAUCUCUCUCAUGGUAUAUUUUGGGGAUUAGCACUCCUCAGUGUGACAGCAGAAGGUACCCUCUUCUGUGCUAUGCCAUGCUGUACCCAGCUUGCUGUUCUCCUCCUUCACCCAGUGGGCAAAUAUCUGCCCUGCAUUAGGUGCAGCAGAUGGUUAAGUGCUUGACUACUAACUGAAAGGCUGAAGGUUCAAGCCUACCCAGAGAUGCCUUGGAAAAAAGCCCUGGAGAUCAGUCUGCUUCUGAAAGGUCACAGCUAUUGAAAACCCUGUGGAACAGUUCUGCUCUGAAACACAUGGGGUCAUCAUGGGUCAGAAUUGACUUGACAGCAACUGGUUUGGUUUUUUUGGUUUGGAUGUCAGUGGGGCCCCUGUCUGGUGGGUGGAGGGGGACCAUGGUGCAGGAACCUAAGCAGCCCACCCUCAUCAGGUGAGUGUAAGCACUGUGCUUGGAGUAGGUGGGUAUAGAGUAGGGUGCUGUCUCUGGGAAGUACAGAGCAGCCCUUCCAGCCUUUUGAAGAACUAGAACCAGAAACCAGGAUAGCACCUGAUUCUUCUAUGCUGAGAUUAUGGAGUAGGGAUCAGGGUAAAUGACUCAGGGCUCCCUGGGGGUACCCUUGCUGCUGCCCUUGGGCUGUGGAUGAUUUCAGAGCCCACUUGAUAGUAGAAGGAAGCUCCCAACAUUCUACCACAACUGGCUCCAUGUCUGGUCAAGCCUGGUAUCCUGCAGCAGAGCUGGACUUGGACAGCUGGGUCCAACAUGCUCAGUGCAGCUUCCUCCAUCUAAGACAAUAAUACGUUCAUUUAUUUGCUCAAUAAAAAUUUGUUGAGCACUUACUUUGUGCCAGGAACUGUGCAGGGAGGAUCAUAAACCAGAUGUGGCCCCGCACACCAAGAACUUCUGCUUCGGUAGAUGCAAGAACAAUCUGCAACUGAUCGCAAUACCUUCUUUUUCUUAGUAAUUGUAAGUCACUAUAUUUUUCAAAAAUAUGCCUGUUAUCUAUUCUAAAGCAUAACUUUUCCAAUGUCUUGAUAGCUCUAAGUUUCAAACUUUGACCUCUUUGGAAGGGCAUCAUCUAUCUGCAAAGACCUUUCUGGACAUUUUGUAAGCCCAUAAAAGAGUUUCAUGUUUCUGAAGUCUACAUGUUCAAAUGAGUUGUUUUCUGCUUAUAAAAUAUUAAAGGGUUGCUACAUUCUGAUUGAGUGCUAGACAUCAAAUGAUAAAACACCCGUGGUCAAAGGGAAAUUGCUUUUUAAUGGAUUGCCUAUUGCCCGUUGCCAUAAUAAAUAAGUUACUAAUAUGAAAAACAAAUCUGAAUGUACCCUUAUGUUGAAGAGGAUAUCUGUUUUUCUUCUGAAGAAAAUUAGUUUCACACACAAAUCUGUCUUCUUUUGGUCUGCAUGUUCCUGCUUUUACCGAUUUCCUAGGUUCAUGAUUCUGAGCCCUUCUCAAAGAGAUUUGUGUUAAUAAUUGACCCCCAACCAUGGUCACUUUUAGCUCUAUAGGCUAGUCCUGACACCAAAGAAGUAUCCAAUAAAAAAUCUAAUUGUUUGAAAAAAUAUAUAUAUAUAAGAAGAAAGAUCCAAUUUUCCAGAAAUUAUUCGUCUCUUGAUUUUAACUUCAGAUCUCUUGAGGACACCACUUCUGAAAUACCAAUUACAUUUUGGUGUCUAGAACAAACAUAUUAAUGUUCAAUUAAAUUACUGUUACCAAAUAUUUAUGUACAGCUCUUUUAAGUUGCUUUUUUUCUUUAAAAAAUUAUUAUUUUUCUGCUUCUCAAUUAUUGAUGUUGCAAGUGGCCAACAUUCCAAUAGUGUGGUCUAAAAUAAUGUCUAUUCAUGUUUUCAGAGCUCAUUUAAUUAAAUAAACAUGUAUUAACAUUAUCGAUCCCUGUAACACCCCCAGGAAUUAAUCAAGAUCAGUACCAUCUUUGUUUAUUAAUGAAGGAAAGAAUUGCACUUACUUAUAUUGUCCGGGGUCACUGAGCUCAAAAUGGUGUUCAAAAGCCCAAGAAAGAUCAGUGUAGGAAGAGGCAGGAAAGUAGAAUGGUUGGCCCAGCUGUGAAUUACAGCUCAGCUUGAGCAUAUUUCAUCCUUGUUCUGAGCUUCUGGUGUCUUAUCUAUAAAACAGAGAUAACAACUAUGCACAGUUUGGACUUUCCCUUAAUGGGAUAAUAAUGUUGCCUCAGUCGAGGCUCUUUUUUUUUUUUUUUUUUGCAAGUCAUGGACUCUCACCUUCUAUAAGCAAACUGCAGGUAGAUAAGGAUGAGGGAGACAGAGCUUAAGUGACAGCUGGAACCAUGGCCCGGAACAAUGUCGCUUAUCUCCUACUCUCUACAUAUUGACUAAAAUUAUUCUUUUAAACCUGUUUUUUCUCCACAAGUCUCUCUUGAGAGCAGGGUACUUGUUUUCCCUUAGUGUCAGUUUGUAAAAUCCCAAGGAAGAAUGCUUAUGGACCUGGCUUUGGUCCCAUAUCCCCAUAACCUGGGUUGUAUGAUUGGCAGCUCCAGCUAGAAGAAAAGAUUGACGUAGAGAGAGGAUCGAGUCUUUAAAAGAAGUAUAUUUGCGUGUGGUAGGUGGGGAGGGGGAAGAGAGGUGGGCGCACCCUUACAGAAAGGAGGCAUAGCACAGACAAAUCCAUUGAUACUACAGAUGUGAAGUCCUUAAGAAGACACCCAGCUCCUAAUUGGGAGUAAAAAAUGGUAGCUGUUAUUUUUGUUAUUAUACUUCUGGUCCCAAAAGCAAAUGAUAAAUUGUUAGGGAAUGGAAGGAAAACUGGAUUCCCAACCUAAAUAGGUUAGUUACUUAUCUUUUGGCUAUAUAGCAACAGACACAGCUAUAGUCCAACGUCAGGUAUAGCUAGAAUAUUUUUUUCUUAUCGCUCUCUCGUUUAUUCAUUCAUUCAAUAACUACAGGGUUCCUUCUCUGUGUAUCAGAAUCUGUACUAAUCACUGAGGACACGGGGGUUAAAACACCUCCUGCUUUCUUAAGCAGCUCAUAUUUUAAUUGGAGAGGCCUUCGCAUAAACACAUGAUUAUAAAGCAUUGUGCUGUUUGUAUCAUCACAUUCAAAACAUAUAACAGCACCAGGAGGCAAUGGCUGGUUCUUUCCGUAUGUGGGGCAGGGCUGAAGAAGGAGGAGUCUUGGAAGUAAUGACAGAGAAGAAGAAAUACGUGUGUGUGUGCAGAAUUACAAAGAUGAAGAAUGACCAGGCAGGUAUGGAAGGGGAAGGAUGGGAAAAACUCUUGCUAGGUCCAGGCAGUGGGAGCCAUGGGUGAAAAGGCAUGGAGACUCAGGGAAUUCUAGUUCCAUGUGACUAAAAGCAUAGGGUUUUGAAGAUGUAAGCAAAUGGGGGAGAUGCUGGCAGAGGAAGCAAGGGUCAGAUCAUAUUUGUCAUGUAGAGGAGUUUGGACUUUACGUUUUAAGGAGUGGAAACCAACAGGACAAUUUUAAUAAUAAUAAGGAUUGUCCAGUCAAGUAGGUCCUAGGGUUGGUUAACUCAACCAAUCAGGAUGUCAUCAGAAAAGAGCUUUAAGGUUCUUUCCAUCUCUCUGUCCUGGCAUCCUUGGCAAGUCAAAUUUGUCCUCAGGCAGGUACCAAAAUGGCUAAUAUCAUUAUGUGAUCCAGAAGAAUGAAGAGGCCUUUCUUCCAGUGGAUCUCUUAUAAAAAGCCAGAAACCAAACCCUUUGCCAUCGAGUUGAUUCUGACUCAUAGUGACCCUAAAGGACAGAGUAGAACUGCCCCAUAGGGUUUCCAGGGAGUGCCUGGUAGAUUUGAACUGCUCAUCUUUUGGUUAGCAGCCAUAACUCUUAACCACUCUACCACCAGGGUUUCCAGAUCUCUUAUAGGAUAGUUGUGUGGAAAUAUUUCCAAAAGCCUUUCAGCAAACUUUCUCUCAUGUCUCAUUGUGAUGGAUACUUGUGCUUAAACCAGACAUUGAUACAGGAAAUGGAACGUCCUAAGGGCAGACCAGUCAUCCCUGUUCCCUGGGCUGAAGGUGGAACCAUGCUCCUCUAAAGGAUAUGAUCACAGACAGGAUGGUAGACAGCUGAACAAAAUUGAGGUUCUGUUAAGUUACGACAAAUAACUGCCUGAAGCCCUUCAUUCUGUUUCCUUUAAAAAAUCUUUUUCUGCAUUUUCCUGACUGAAAACUAUAACAAAUUGAAGCCAGAUAACAACACUCAGUCAUUCCAUCUUUAUUGGAAAUUGGGGGAAUGCACUGAUUUGUUUUUUUAUCGUGGCAAUAUCAAAACCCAUUGCUGUCGAAUCAAUUCCGACUCAUUCUGACCCUACAGGACAGAGUAGGGUUUUCUCCUGGAGCAGUUGCUGAGUUUGAACUGCUGACCUUUCAGUUACCAGCUGGCGCUUAAUCACUGCACCCCCAGGACACCUUAGCAAUAUCAAAGUUUGCGUAAAAAUGGAAAUUGAGCUUUGAUGGUAAUUUUUUUUUUUUUUUUAAAUCACUGAGAUGCCAGGGCUUUUCUGCCAUACUUUUAGCAAAAUGGUUAUUUCCACUUCCUCAAUUAUAUUUUCUUAUGUGGGCUGUUCUCAGGUGUAUACUGAAGGGCAGAAUGAAUAUAUAUUUGUGAUUGAAACCUUCGUAUUUUCCUGAAACACUUUUGCCAUCUUCAUCUAUUUGAUCAUGUAUAAUUAAAUUAAAAUGUAACAACUAUUUCACUGUUAAAAAAAAAGUAGAAAAGAAGCCUGCAUCACACACUACGGAAAUGUUCGCCAUUUCCUUACUCUGUCUUGCAGUGGCAAUAUUUAUUAUAACACACCGGUGGUGCCUGAGUGGAGUGCCUUGUAUAAUUCAUCACCCAGACACCUCUGCUUUAGCAAGUAAAAAUAACACAGACGAGCAAUCUGAAGGACUCUUUGGUGUGCAGCAGCAAUUAGAAUAGACACUUAACUCUGGGACAUUGGUGUUUUUGUACAUUGAGAAGUACCAUCCAUCACUUUCAUCAUUAGUCAGGAAGUUCUGGCUAAAGAAAGCUCAAGAAAAUUAGCUUUUGACAAUUAAACUUCUUAAAGACCUUUUUCUCCUUAAUACAAGCAGUCGCCAUAUUCCAUGUAAAGUGAAGACUCACAGAUCUCAACUGCACCUUGGAUUUUCAUGUUCUGCUUUCAUAUUCUACUUCAAUGUUAAGUGUAAACAAACAAACAAAAAAUAAUGAAUGAUCAAACUGCAAUCCUGGCUUUAGAAAGCUAGUCUACUUUUGACCGAGAUUAAAAUUGUCGUAGAAGGAAUAUAGAAGUCAUUUGGUCGUGAUUGUUUAGAAUAAUUAUAAAACUGGUAUCAGGAUUUUUAAUAGUAUUAUCACAAGACAGCAGGACAUAAUGUAAGAUAUCAUAGCGACCCUAUGUACAGUAGAACAAAACACUUCCCAGUCCUGCACCUUCCUUACAUUUGUUGCUGUUUGAGCCCAUUGUUGCUGCCACUGUGUCAGUGCAUCUCGUUGAUGGUCUUCCUCCCUUUUGCUGAAUCUCUGCUUUACCAAGCACGAUGUCCCUCUCCAGGGACUGGUCCCUCCUGAUAAAAAAAAAAUGUCCAAAGUACAAAGAUGAAGUCUUAUCAUUCUCACUUCUAAAGAGCAUUCUGUCUGUACUUCUUCCAAGACAUAUUUGAUCAUUCUUCUGGCAGUCUGUGGUAUAUGCAGUAUUCUUUGCCAACACCAAUAUUCAAAGACAUCAGUUCUUCUUUGGUCUUACUUAUUCAUUGUCCAGCUUUCACACAUGAUGCUUGGGUCAGGUGCUCAAAGUGACAUCUUAGUCCUCAAAGUGACAGCUUUGCUUUUUAACACUUUAAAGAGGUCUUUUGGAGCAGGUUUGCCCAAUGCAUUACGUCUUUUGAUUUCUUGACUGCUUUUUCCAUGGGCAUUGGUUGUGGAUCCAAGUAAAAUGAAAUCCUUGACAAUUUCAAUGUUUUCUCCAUUUAGCAUGAUGUUACUUAUUGUUCCAGUUGUGAAGAUUUUUGUUUUCUUUAUGUUGAGAUGUAAUCCAUACUGAAGACUGAAGACUAUAGUCUUUGAUCUUCAUCAGUAAGUGCUUCAAGUCCUCUUCACUUUCAGCAAGCAAGGUUGUGUCAUCUGAAUAUCAAAGGUUGUUAAUGAGUCUUCCUCCAAUACUGAUGCCACGUUCUUCUUCAUAUAUUCCACCUUCUGGGAUUAUUUGCUCAGCAUACAGAUUGAAUAAGUACGGUAAAAGGAUACAACCCUGACACACACAUUUCCUGAUUUUAAACCACACAGUAGCCCCUUAUUCUGUUCAAAUGACUGUCUCUAGGUCUAUGUGCAGAUUCCUCAUGAGCACAGUUAAGUGUUCUGGAUUUCCCAUUCUUUGCAAUGUUAUCCAUAGUUUGUUAUGAUCCACACAACCAGAUGCCUUUGCAUAGUCAAUAAAACACAGGUAAACAUCCUUCUGGUAUUCUCUGCUUUCAACCAAGAUCCAUCACAUACCAGCAGUGAUAUCCCUCUUUCCACGUCCUCUUCUGAAUCCAGCUUGAAUUUUUGGCAGUUGCCUUUUGAUGUACUGCUGAAACCAUUUUUUAAUUAUCUUCAGCAACAUUUUACUUGCGUGUGAUAUUAAUGAUACUGUUCUAUAAUUUCCACUUUGGUUGGAUCGCCUUUCUUUGGAAUGGGCACAUACAUGGAUCUCUUCCAGUUGGUUGGCCAGGUGUCUGUCUUCCAAAUAUGUUGGCAUAGAAGAGUGAGUACUUCCAGUGUUGCAUCCGUUUGUUGAAGCAUCUUAGUGAUAUUCCGUCAAUUCCUGGAGCCUUGGCUUUUUUCACCAAUGCCUUCAGUGCAGCUUGGUCAUCUUCCUUCAGUUCUGUCAGUUCUUGAUCACAUUCUGCCUCCUGAAAUGGCUGAAUGUCAACCAAUUCUUUUUGGUACAGUGACUGUGUGUAUUCCUUUCAUCUUCUUUUGAAAGAAGAGUCAGAAGCCCUGUGUAAUAGGUCUUUUGUCAAGACAGUUAGCCAUGUUGCUCCUUAGUCUUUGCAUCUAUAAAAUGGGGAAAUCAUUAUUAUACCUGAGAUUCAGAUUAAUUUUUAAGAAGUUAAAGUGCUUUGUUAACUGUGAAAUGCUCUACCGGUAGAAGAAAACAUGAUUAUGAAGAUGCACACCUGCAUAUUGCAGGUUGUAAAUGAGUCUUCCUCCAAUCCUGAUGCCAUGUUCUUCUUCAUAUAGUCCAGCUUCUCAGAUGGGAGAAACCAAGAUGCAUCCAUAGCAAAGCCAAAUCUUUUUCUGUGUAUUUAGUGGCUCUUGCAAGAACCUGAAGUUCUGUGGUGUUCUAUUUGUGUUUCAGAAGGUAAUGCUUGUAGAUAACUCUUCCAAUCACAAUGACAUUUUUAUCUUAAUAAGUGAUUAUUGAAAGAGAUUACAUUUGGCAGUUUAAAAGGAGACUAUGCAUCUCAAAUGCAUCUCAGCUAUAAUGAAAAUCAUUUAUGUUUAUCAUAAUUUUUUUUUUUGGACUUACUCCUUUUACAUUAUUUUUGAAAAGAUGCAUAACUGGGAAAAAUCCAUUCCUGUUGCCUCUUAGCCAGAGUGGAUUAUAGACUGAGAAAAACACAUGGUGCAGUCGCCCCACCUCAUAAUGAAGGGACAUAUGGAUAUGUUUUAAAAUGCAGAUUCCCGUUGUCUUCUCCUUCUGCCUGGUGGAAAGAUUUGCCUUUAGGUUCAUGUCAAAUGUCAGCUCUGGGGUGACUAUUCUCCUGACCCCCCACUCCUCCCCUGCUGGUGGGGGAUAUCACAUCCUCCUCAGAACUCUUGUAGCACUUUACCCCUACUUUGUUUUGCUUUCUAUUUAGUAAUAAUUAUUCUUAAUUCCUGGCCUUACUUAUCCCAAAAUUAAAGUGGUUUUUGAAAUUGUAAAAAAAAAAUUAAAAAUAAAUAAAAGGUGAAAACAAAGGAAAGUAAGAACUAAAUGAAUUAAGAGUGUUUGCAAAGUGUACAUUGUGAACGCCUUUGUAUUUUCUAGUGGUAGACCCUGAAUUUGGCUCAGUGACUUGUGUGUCCCAGGGAAGUAAGAGCAGUUCAAUAAUAGAAAAUAGUGUACCAUCUCAGAUGAAUAAGGUCACUGUGAAAACCCCCAUGCUAAUUUCAAUUGAUGCUUAUGUUGUAUUUAAUCACACUUAAUGCCAUUUGUGAAAAAUUAUGGAGUAGGGCACUUUCCUAUUAUGAAAUAGGGCACAAUAUCAUAAUAUAGCUACUGUAAAGCAACAAGCCAGCAUCAUAUUUAAAAUGGUAACACCAAAACAGCUUUCCCAAUAAAAACUGUAAUUCAGACAGGAUGCUAAUGUUCCCCAUUAUUAUCUCUCCUUGAUAUGGAAGUCAUAAAGAAAUAGAGGUGGAGUUCAUGGAAAAAAACAAAGUGUUUUAAAUUGUAAACAAUAAGACCAUAUAUCUAGAAAUCCCUGAAAAAGCAACUAAAAAGCUGAUAGAAUUAAUGUAAUUUAGAAAAGCAGUUAGAUACCAGAUAAAUAAAACUUAAUAGCCUUUCUGUAUGCCUGUAGUAAUUAGUUAUAAAAUGGGGGGGGGGGGGAGUUAUCUCAUUAGCAGUAGCAACAAAAAUGUAAACUGCCUUAGAAUACUCCUAACAGGAGACAUCUUAGACUUUUAAACUGAAGAAAACUAAGAUUUUACUGAAAUAUGCAACAGAAAUGUCAAGUAAAUAAAAUAGUUUAUUCCUGGUGGGAAAACAUUAAUAUUGUAAAAAAAGAUGUUCGUUCCUCCAAAUUAGCGUACAGGCUCAUAUCUCAUUCAAAAGUACCAGUGAAAUUUGGAGUGAAAACUUCAUCAUGACUCUAGAGUUUAUUUGAAAGAGUAAGAAAGGUGAGAAUUGGUCAAAGGGACUGAUUAAAAAAAAAUAAAAAGAACAAUGAAAAAAGAAAGGAAAUUACAGUAUUUCUCUUUUUUAGAACUUUUUUUAAAAUUUUGCAAGAAAAUCCAAAGAACUCAUGUGUACAUUUCCCUAGGUUUACCUAUUGUGUUAAAUUUUGCAAUACUUGUAAAAAUAAAAAUUGAAGAAAUAUUAAAAAUAAAGAAAACUAUUUGAAAUCUGAUCUGACUUUGGCCUGCUGUCUCAGAGAGCAAAGGUGUUAGAGGCCUUUUAAUCUUAAAACAACAGAAAUCAGGAUACCAAACUGCACUGAAAUAGUGAUGAAAUGCUAACCUCUAAAGUUUUUUUAAACCAAAUAAACGUGAGUAAAAUAACCAAAUGGGAAAAAAAAAAAAGUCAUACCUAGAGAGAAAGUCUUAAGCACACUUCCAGGAGAUGCCAUGGCUUCCUAAAGUGUCAUUUCCCCCGGAAGUCCCCAGUGGGUGGGGGAGAAGCGGGAGGACAGAAAGCACUAAGGCACCUUUUACUUCUCACCCUUAACCUGGAGCCUUUGGAUGUAAAGAUUAACCUGAAUGUUGAAGUCCCUGUAUUAGGAUGUAAAUGCCAGUCAGGUCUGCCAGCCCUGGCUCUUGAACUCUCAUCAGGAACCACUUGCUGACUCGAAGAUUGCUAGAAAGGAAUUUUUAAAAAGGUAAUAACAGUAAUAAUAAUAAUAUGACCGCUGCUAUUACAUGCUUUCUAUAUCGCAGACAAUACAUUGAGGUCAACACUUUGCACACAUUACUUGUUAACAAGUAAUCUGACAACAUCUCCAUUUACAAAUGAGGAAUCUGAGCCUCUGGGCUAGGUUAAGUAACCCUAGGGCACACAGGCAUUCCAAAAAACCGAGCAAACCCGUUGCCCUUGAGUCGAUUCCGACUCAUAGCAGCCCUAUAGGACAGAGUAAAACUCCCCACCUAGGGUUUCUAAGGAGUGCCUGGUGGAUUUGAACUCCCGAAUUUUUGGUUAGCAGCUGAACUCUUAACCACUACACCACCAGGGUUUCCAAAUGCUUUUAAUUAUUUUAACUACAGGUAGUCCCUGACUUAGACUUAUUCAAGAGUUACAAGGAACUGCACUUAGAACCUUCUUUUUUUUUAUGAUUUGUGUAAUUUUUAUGUAUGUAUUAAAAUUUAAAAUACAUCUGGAAGUUUAUAUAGUGUUUCCAACCCCCCAAAACAAAUAAAUAUCAAAUAGAAGGCAAUAAUAAUAAAAACAAAAAAAUGUGAGGUGUUUGACUUAGGUUAGAACCAGUGUGCCCCGCAGUUAAGUCUGGGACUACCUGUGUUAUGGGAAACUGUUGUGCUGUUUGCUCUGAAUCGUUAUCCCCUAUCAACUCACUGCUUUCAUUUUUUUUUUUUUUUUUAGUGAAAGUCUUCCUUACAGAUGAUAAGCUUUCUGAGGACUAGACUCAUAGUGAAUUCAUCUUCUAUGCUCUGCGUAUAGUCAGCAUUUAAUAAAUACUUGUUGCAUGAAUAUAGUAGCUUUCUAUUUGCUUCAGGGUCAGUUCCAAAAAUAUUCUUCAGACAUCCUUAAAUUUUUGAUGAACUUUGUGUUUUACCCUCAAGCCUGCCAGACAGCAUCCAUUUUUUUCCCUGAAGUUAGUGAGAAUGAUUUCUACAGAAGGGACCCUCCUCAUCCCUUCCUUCCCCUUCCCUUCCUCCUCUGGGUAGCUUGGUGGAGAAGACCCACUGUGAUCCAGAUUUGCAUUAGGAAAUAUCAAUACUGCAGUAUGUUCCCCAAAGAGGGAAAGAGGAUCUAUUUUCAAUCCUGUGUUUCAGAAUCCACAGAUGUGUGACUUCCUAAUUUACUAUACCUCAACUGCCUCCAGAGAGCUCUUGGCUUGGUCUGUGUUUCCCUUAUCCACAGGGGAAAUGAGCUUGGUCUCUGGUUGGCCAGGACUCCAGUGAGGAUUCAGAAAGGCCAGUCAACGGUGCUUCUCCAAAGAUACCUCUUUUACCAAAGGCGCGCCUGGCCACCAGGAUUUGCGGGGAGUCUGGUGCCCUGAGAUGGCUGCUGCAGGCUGGGAACCAACCUCCUUCCAAGAGCAGGGCAGCUGGCUGUGCAUCUCACUGCGGUGUGCUCUCCCUGCCUUUCACUCCUUUCCGGCUACCUGCAGAGAGCAGGACCCAGCUUUGGAUCCAGGCAAACAGUCACACCCAACGUGGCUUUUCUUAUAUAAUUUGGCUUUCCACGGGUUUUGGCCAUAAAGGCAGAUUGCAGCUGUGGCCUGAGCAUCUUUAGAAGUGUGAAUCAUUUCUUUUUUUUUUUUUUUCCCCAAAGAAGCUAUUUAGAGAAUUAUGAUCACAUAUUUCCAUGUUAUUUUUUUAUAGAGUGAGUAAGGAGAAUGACUUGCAUUUUUUUUUUCCCCUUUAAAUAGAAAAAUCUGCCUGUGUCUAUGCUCUUUUAUCUUGUGUAACCUGGGCGGGUGGUUCCUGAACUCGGCUGUGCAUCAGAGUUACUUGGGGGAGUUUUUUGAGAUACAAAGUUCUGAAAUCAAAUCCAGAAAUCAGUUUUUUUUUUUUUUUUUUUUCUUAAUAAACUCUCCAAUUGACUUGUAGGCAGCAAAACUGGUCCCUUCCAAGUUUGGGACUCUCUUGUUGGAUCUUCCCCCGCCCCCACCCACUGUGGUAAUUUGGAUCAUGGUUAAAAGGUUAUCUUUAGGAGGUCCCUUGGUGGUACAGGUGGUUUGCAUUGGGCUACUAACUGAAAGGUUGUUGGUUGGGAUUUACCCAGCAAUCUACUUUUGUAAAGAUGGUUUUUUUAUAGCCAAGAAAACCCUAUAAAGCAGUUCUACUCUGAAACACGUGGGUUGCCAUGAGUUGGAGUUGACUCGAUGGCAUCUAGUUUGUAUGGGGUAGUAAGAGCUCUGGAGCGGGUAUUAGAAGACCUAGAUUCGAGUCCUGGCUCCAGUGCUAUUAUUUUUUUCUUUUAAUUUUCUGUUGAUACUAUGUGCGUUUUCAGUAAUGGAAGACAUGCUGAAUCAUUGAGUAUGUCUGAAUUUUUGGUGUAAUAUGGUUUUUGGUUUAUGCCUCAUUCCACAAAUCAUACCCUCAGAGUCCAGAGGUACAUAUGCAUACCAAAUAAAAAUUUUUUUAAUUUAUGUUUUUCAUAUGAAAAAUUUAGUGAUUCAGUGUCAUCUCGUACAAUACCCUGUAAUAACAGGAAUUUAGACCACAUGCCAAUUUUUUUUUUCCCCCAUUUUGAACUGUUAUAUAGGGCCCUGCCUGCCAGCAGCACAUACUGUCAGUGGGACAGCAGCUUCCCAAUGAACCCCAGAGGUACAAAAAAACUUAAGUGGCAGCUAUAUAUACCACCGUUCCUGAAAAGGGGUUAGUAAAUGUGUUUUCCCACCCUGAAUUUUUUCCUCCUUUGAAAUAUCAACUUUAUUGCCAGCAAAAAGUCCUUUGAAAGGAAUUAAAUCUUAAUUUUGCCAGAACAGAGAAAGGAAGUGACAAAUACGUGUGUGUGUGUAUUCCUCUGACUUCUCUAUUCCCUGCUUAGCUGAUUGACUGUCUUUCCCACCUUGACAUUCUCUAGGCUGUUGCCUCUCCAUGAUGACAGCAAUGCUGUCAGGGGCUGAAGCAGUUGCCUGGCCCAUCCCUAACUGGGAAUAAGAGUGUUUAAAUUGAUCUAAGUUUGGAGGAAGAAAUAAGCCUAAAUCCAAAUGCUACUUUAAAAUUUUUGCAAGUCAUAGCCAUUUUCAGCUGGAGAAACACAGCUUUACUGUGUCUUUGGUUUUCAUAAGCUGUUUAAUAGUUUGAGGAAUUGCUUUUUACUGUAGUCACGCCAUUUUAUGAAAGUUUGGGACUUCUCUAGAGAUUUACAAAUUGUCUACAAAGUUUUGUUUUUGGAAAGGGCACCAGGGUGAGUAGUCAGUCAGUAAAUACGGUUAACAUUUUAGGCACCCAGGAUAUAGCAGUCAAAUAAAAAGGCUACCAUCCAUGCCUUUAAGGAAUUUCCUUUUUAGUUGGAGAAAAACAGACCAUAAACAAAUAAGGAAGGCUGUCAGAUGGUAAGCAAUGCAGUGGAGAAAACCAAACUGGGAAGAGAGAUGGAGCACUCAAGAAUUCAUCACUGAGAAGGUGAUGUUGCCCAAAACUGGGUGAAUUGAGGGAGUGAGCCGAGAAAAUAUCUGGCUGAGGCUUUUCCAGAAAGAGGAAACAGCAGGGUAAAGGCCCUGAGGCAGGAGCACCCAGUGUGGGAAAGAAAGAGCAAGGAGGUCAAGGUGGUUGGAGGGAGUGAACAAGGGAGAGAAGCCGGAUAUGAGGUCCUGGAUAUAAGAGGGUCCGAUUCUUUUGCAGGAUCUUGCAGACCCUGACAACCACUUUAGCUUUUACUCUGUGUGAGACUUGAGCAGACAUGUGAAUUAUGUGACUUACAAUUUAAAGAAUUAUUUGACUGCCUUGGUGGUGUAAUAGUUAAGCACAAGGCUGCUAACCGAAAAGUUGGCGGUUCAAACCCAUCAAUGUUUCCGUGACAGAAAAGACCUGGCAAUCUGCUUUUGUAAAGAUUACAGCCUGGGAAACCCUGUGGGACAAUUCUACUCUCACAUAGGAUCACUGUGAGUCAGAAUAGACUCAAUGGCACCCAACAACUAUUGAGAUUAGAUUGUAGGAGGGACAAGGAUAGAAGUAGGGAGACCAAUUACACAGCUACUACAGUAAGUUGAAGGAUAGUGGAGAUACUGAAAAGUGGUUGGAUUCUGGAUAUAUUUUAGAGGUAGAGCCAACAGGAUUUUCCUGACAGCCUGGAUGUGAGAUGUGAAAUAAAAAGAGUCAAUGAACAAUCAGAAGCGUGGAGUUGUUAUCAAGGCUGAUAGAAGGACAUAGAAGAUCAACAGUUCUGUUGUGGUAUGUUAAUUUUGAGAUGCCUUUUGGACAUCCAAAUGGAAAUUAUGAUUUCAGUAGAUAUACCAUUUUAUUACCAGUCUAGACUAGAGAUCGGGGAAUAGUUUUGGGCUAGUGAUUUAACCUUGGGCAUCAUCAGUAUAUACUAUUUGCCAUUGGGUCAAACCUGACUCAUGCCGACUACACAUGUGUCAUACUAGAAUUGUGCUCCAUAGGGCUUUCAAUGGCUGAUUUUUCAGAAGUAUAUCACCAGGCCUUUCUUUUGAGGCACCUCCAGGAGAACUCAGAACUCCAACCAUUCAGUUAGCAGCUGAACACCUUAAUCAUUUGCACGAGCCAGGAUCUCCCAGCAGCAUGCAGAUGACAUUUAAAGCUAUUAAGACUGGAUGAGAUCACCAGAAAGGCCCCAGGAUUGAUCCCUGAAGCACCCAAAAAUUUGGAAGUUGGGAGAAGAGGAAGAACUGGGAAAGAGAGUGAGUGGGGCAUGAAGGAGGUAGGAAGAGAACCAAAAGAAGCCAAGUGAAGAAAACCUUCACUGAACAGUUCAGGGUGAUGGAGAGAUCACCUGUGUCAAAUGCUACUAGUAAAGUUAAAUGAGAAUUGAAAAUUGAACAUAGAUUUUAGCAACAUAGAGAUCAGGAGCGACCUGAACAAGAGUAGUUUCAUCGGGGUGAUGAGGGGAGGAAGCCUGGUUGGAUGGGUUAAGAGAGCAGAAGCAGAGGGACUGGGACAGUGAGUACACAUGAGUCUGCUCAGUGUGGUCUGUACCUUGCUGUGAGCAUUUAGAAACUUCUGUAGCAAUUUGACUUUGCUACAGCAUCCAAGCACGACCGCUUUUCUAGUGAUGAACUUUUAUUAUAUUUCACAAGAGUGUCUCUUUGUAAUCAAAGACUAGAAAUUAAAAACUAACAAACUGGUCCUUCACCGCAGAUAGUUUGAGAGGUACUGGUGUAGAUGACUCUUUAAAGGGGUUUUGCUUUACAGUGAAGCAGAAAAAUAACGUAGAAGCUGGAGACGAACUUAAAAUCAAGGUUUUUUUGUUUGUUUGUUUUAAUAGUGAGAGGAAAUUUUAUGUGCUGAUAGUAAUGAUUCAAGAGAGGGGAAAAAUUGAUGAUUAAGAAAAAAGACCUGUAUCUCUGUGGCUAUGUCUUUGCACACAUUUUUAAUUGUUUCAUUUGCUAUAUGUCUACCAGUGGAUAUGGAAUCAAGCAGUGCUUGCUUUUAUUUAUAUCCUCAUUGUAGAAAAAUUUAAAAGUGCAGAAAAACAAAACUAAUAAUCUUCCAUUAUUCUACCACCAAGAGAGAUUGUUACAAAUAUACUAUUCCACAGUUUUUUUGUUAUUAAAAUGAGAUUAAAUGAUACUAUUUUUUUAUAUGUUAUUCUUUGACAUUUAGUAUAAUGUGGCUUUCUUUUUACAAUUCUAAAUAUCUAAAUGCAUCAUUAUUUAAUGGCUGCUUAGCAUUUCAUUGUGUGGGUCUACUAUAAUUAAUUUGACCAGACUCCUAUUGUUGGACCAUUUCUAGUGAGAAAUAGCACUGGAAUAAACAUCCUUGUAAUUCCAUCUGAUUAUUUCCUGAGAAUUAAUUCUUAGAAGUCCUAUGUCAAAUGGUCUGAAAUUUUAAAGCUUUUUAUUCUUUUGCAAAAUUUGCCCCUAGAUAGACCAAGGCACUUGCACUCCACUAAGUAGUCCACGUAUAUUUAGAUACAAGGAUACAUGGUUCGACACAGUUUUUUAAACUACUGAAAAAAACGAGGGUGGGGGGAGAAAUUUUAUUGAGAUUGUGGGGUAACGGGUAAUUAUAUAGAGAGAGAUAUUAAGAUAGAUGGAUACCUAAUAGAUGUAGAUAGGUGGGCACCUAAUAGACAGAAAUAUAAUAGAGAUUUAUAGAUAGAGAGGUCGUCGAUAUUUAUAUACACCAGGGCCACGUUGUGAUUUUUGUAGGCCCUAGGCACGUUUACCUUUGCGGGCCUCUUCCUCUGUAAAUGAUAUUAAAAUUUGUAUUUUUCGAUUGCCUUGACAUAAAGAUGAAAAUAAUCCAGAAUGGAUUCCUUACUCUGUUCCUUGUUAAUACAUAUUUUUUUCCUCUGAUUUUAAAAGAAAAUACUUUCAUGGCCCAUUAAAGUAUUGGGGUUCCUACACACAGUGCCCUAAGGAUAAGGUGACCCUGAUUAUGCUUAUCUCUACUUUUAAUAUUUUCUAUAAUGAUUAGGUAUUAUUAUAACAUAAAAAAUAAAAGAAAAAUGUCAAAGUAAAUUUAUAAAUAUCCAUGUCCCUCAAAAGGUUUCUCUUCCUUUCUCUGCAAGAAAAGAGAUACAUUCGUCUUUUCUCAUAAGUCCCACCUCAUUUCCCUCCCUGACAGUGGGCUAUCCAGAAGACCUGGCUUUUGCUUUGUAGAAAAAGUAAAAGAAACCAGAGGAGGGCAAGGAAAGCCUCUAGCUUUGCACGCACCCCUGCUGCUACUCCCUCCUGGAUCAUCCCUAGCCUCACCAUUCACCUAGUUCUGUGCCCCUGAUAGGUGAUACCAUGUUCAGUCACAGCCUUACUUUCACAACCAGUCACUAACCAAGUCCCACCAUUCUAGCACUUAAAUAUUUAUGUCUCCUGAAUUUUCCACAUUUCCACUGGCAUUCCCUGAAUUCAGACUCCCAUCUCACUGCCUCCAUACUUGACCCCUCUAAUCCAUUCCUGCUCCUUUCUGCAGCCUUAGCAUAAAUCAGAUCUGUUUAAAAUCCCUCUUGGAAUAAAGCACAAACUUCUCACUAUUAUCACACUACAGCAAGCCCAAUACAAUAUGCUUUCUCUCCAUAUUGGACCUUUGCACACACUGGCUUCCUUCUUCUGUUCAUUGCCUGACCAAUGCCUACAACCUUCUUCAGUCCUCAAUCCCUGGUAGCACCCCUCCCCCCGUCACCCCACAUCUGAGCUAUUUCCUGUACUAUUGAGGCACAUCUUACACUAUAUUAAAAUUACAUGUUUACUGGUCUGUCUUUGCAGGUUUUCUCUGUCCAAUUAGUGUCAGGUCCAUCCAGAUUCCAUUAUAAGGCUGUCUCAUCAAUCCAAAACAUGUGUACAAUUUCAGAGAGGCUAUGUUGGGGGCAGCUAGCGGGUGCCAUAUUGGAUUGGAUAAAGGAUAGUUUUGUUAGUAAGUUGGGCCACUUGGCUCCGGGGCCAUUAGGUGACCAGUUAAAUGGCCAAUAAAGCCUCCCAGUCAGAACAAGUAAUGUCACAUGGAAUGAUAGAAGGCGGAGUGAUAGCCAUGGUGCUAGACACAGAGUGAGUGCUCAGCAGAUAUUGCUUAUUACCAGCAUCACAAUGAAGCUAGCACUGGGAAUCCAGCUGGCCAGAGGCUGCCCUCUGUCCUGCUAUGGGCUGUCUGUGGGGUGGCCCCAGGCUCACAGGUGUCGCUGACAGUGAGGUGGAGGUCAGACACCAGCAGAUGAGCUCUGCUCUUGCCAGAUUCUCACCAACUGGACUAAAGAUCUUUGUUCUCUUUAUGUGCAAGUAGAUCUCACGUUUCUUUGCUGCCUCCAACCUUGAGGAAAAGUCAGAAUCGUAAGCAAUGACACUUACUGACCUAUUUUGGCUGGCUAGGGAUUGGUCUUUCAGAUGAUGAGAAAUGAGUAAAAACAAACAACAAAUCCUCUGGCUGUUGACUCAUUGUUCUUCCCUCUUAGAACGUUGGUCAUCGUGGAUGGUGAGAUGGUAACGCGGGAACCUUGGGCUCAUUUUCUUAUUUCAUCUUCUGCAGUGGGGUUGUCAUUUUUAUGCUUAAGAUAAUACCUUAGUUUCUUUUUUUUUUUUUUUUUUAAUAUUCCUCUUGAGUUAAGACCUUGAUUCAUUUGAUUUCUACCUUUGAAUAGUUCAUGAGAUGUGGUUGUAGGCAUUUCAUCUCAAGAAAUAGGAAAAAAAAUAUGUGGAAACGAGGCAGUCAAAUGGAUUACUCUCAUGAAGUAAUUGCCAAUAGUGACUCAUCAGAGGGUAAGAAAAUCACUCUAGUGAAUUUUGAAUAGUGCUUUUAAAAGUGGAAUAAAAUAAAUGUUAGAGCGUCUAAUGAGUAGCAAAGGCAAAUUCUUCACUAAAUCUAAUGUAUUACAUUCAUCUGGGUGUGUAUAUGGUGUUGCAGUACAAAAUGUGUUUAUUUUAUUGUGGGUCACAGUUCAAAAAGUACAAAAGUCUCCAUUGUUAAGACAAUUCACCUUGAAAUUACUUAAUAGAGCUUGGCCUGUGUUCGUGUUAGUGCAUGCACGACACAUUCUAUGACUCUGUCAGGGUUUAUCUUAAGGAAUGAGUUGCCCAUCAUGCACUGGUACCGAUGGGGCUGAUCCUGUCCACAGAGAGCUUCUGCAAGACUUAUGUUCUCAUCUCCUUCGUGGGUACCACUUCUGGCUCUUCAUUAUGUUCCCUGGGUGGUGCAAAAUGUUUGUGCUAGACUACUAACCUGAAGGAGCCCUGGUAACACAGUGGUUAAGAGCUGAGCUGCUAACCAAAAGGUUGGCAGUUCAAAUCCACCUGCAGCUCCUUGGAAACCCUAUGGGACAGUUCUACUCUGUCUUGUAGGGUCACUAUGAGUCAGAAUCGACUUGACCAAAAAAGCCUAGUUUGCUUGGUUUUACUAAUCUAAAGGUUGGCAGUUCCAACACACCGAGUGGCACCAUGGAGGGAAGGCCUGAUGAUCCGCUUCCAUGAAGAUUAUAGCCAAGAAAACCUCAUGGAGCAGUUCUACUGUGUAACACAUGGGCUUGCCAUAGGUCGAAUCAACUCAACAGCAGUGGGUUUGGUUUUUGGUUUUAGCUUCUCUUAGAAGGGUUUCUUUAUAGAGUAGAAAAAUGAGAAUUAUGUAUGUGAUGUUUCUUAUGUGUACGUAAGAGGGAACCGCUGAACAUGUCCUAAAAUAAGAGGACAGUGUCAGCCCUUUGUUAGCUGCCAAAUGUGACUUCAGACUCACUUUCUUGAAGCUUUAAUCUGAAAACUAGUUUCUGAUUUAUUUCAAUGUUUUAUCAGUUUUUAAAAUAUUUCCAAAUGAAAAGCUAUCACCCACUGUUUACGUAAAAUCCUUGCAUCUACAACCCAAGCAGAAAUGGCUGGUUAGAUGAUAAACGCCCUUCAUUCCUCUUGAGCUGACUCCAUGCACAGUCGAGGGAAUGCAGAUGGGAGUAAGCGGGACAUGAGAAAGCAAUUCCGAGGUCCCAACUAAUAAAAAAAUCUUUGAAUAGUUAUUCACUCCCACUCAGACAGAGGUCUGUGGGAAAUUUCCUAUUGCUUCAGGCCUUUAAAGGCUCCAUAAUCUAGCUUCCAUCUGCUUUUCUGACCUUACUUUUUAAUACAUCUCAAGAGAAACUAAAGACCAAAACCAACUUACAUUUUGUGUUGAUAUAGCCCAUUUGCAGCUCCCUAAACAAGUCAGACUGCCUCAUUUGUGCCUUUGCUCCUUGGCAUUUUCUCUCUCCAGCUGCUUUUGGUCUAAUAUCAACCCCGUUUGCAAGGCCCAGGUUAUUGCUCAGCCCCACCACAAAACCUGUGGGGACCCCUCCAAACUUGAACUCAAUGCACUUGAGCUGAGCACCUACCAUGCUCCAAGCACAUAUGAUCAAAAAGAAGACCUGAUUCUUGUCUUCAUCAUCUCCCUCCUGAGAACCCAACUUGUAGAAUUUUAGGCAAAUGGUUACUGAGCAUCUACUAUGUCCCAGACCUUGUACUAGGCACUGGGACUUUACUGAUUUGUCGAAGAUAAUCUAAAAGUGAAUUGUGGAAUUCUGUUUAUGCUUCUUGUUAAUAUAGAUUCUAACAUUUGUGUCUUUAUGCUUCCUGUUGUUAACCAACAACCAUGUGAAUAAAGACUAUUUAUGGGUACAUAACAGCAAAGAGGAAUUCUAUAAAAGAGAAAUAAAGAGUAAUAAAGCUAUUUUCCCACAGUAACCCUUUGAUUUAUACUACUGUUUAGACAAGUGAUCUAUUAUAACACAUAUUUUAUUCCAGAAUUUCCUUUAUUAUAAGUUUUGGAGAGGAUCAAUAUUUUUAUUUUUUUUAAUUAAAUAAUCAUAUGAUAAUUGCCGUUUAUUUUUCUCUACCAUACUCUACCAUAAAGAAAAAAGAAAAAAAAAAUCACAUGAAACCAGUACCAACAUAUAUAUUAAAUUAUAUUUUUAUUUGCAUCUGUUUACAUAUUUUUCUGAGUAUAAAAUUGAUAUAUUAAAAAAUAAAAUAAAAAAACCAAGCGCAUGUUCAUUGUUUAAAGAAGAAAAUUAAAGCCACUUAUUCCACCAGGCAUCACUAGCUGGUACAAACAGUUAAGCAGUUGUCUACUAACCGAAAGUUUGGUGGUUUGGACCCACCCAGAGGCACCUCAGAAGACAGGCCUGGCACUCUGCUUUCGAAAGGUCAUAACCUUGAAAACCCUAUGGAACACUUCUACUCUGCACACCUGGGGUUGCCACGAGUCUGAAUUGAUUGGAUGGCAAUUAACAACAUUAUUCCAUGACCUUGAGAUAACAGCUCUAGGCGUAAGGAUGUGUUUCCUUCUAGCUGGUGGUAUAUUUUGUUUCCUCACGUUAUCUGUAUAUAUACAUAUGUUUGCAUUUAUAUGCGUAUUUUUAAAAAAUGUGGACUCAUACUGCCUUGAAGUUCAGAAUCCCAUGUUUCUGGGGUUGAGGAAAGGGAAGGAGUAUAUACGUGAGGGUGGGGAUGAACGGUUCAUUCUCUUCCAUCUACAGUCCAUGUAAAUGGAAUCAUACGGUAUGUAGUCUUUGUGUCUGACUUUUUUCACUCAAUAUUUCAGAUCCAUUGAGGAAUAAUUUAAUACAGUAAAAUUUACCCCUUUAAAGUAUACAGUUCUUCCAUUUUGUGUACAGUUGUGUAACCACCAUCCCAAUCAAGAUAUAAACUCUUUUCAUCUCCUCAAAAGUUUCCUUUUGAUAUUUGUUUGCCCCUCUUGACCAGCAGUUCUCCACCAAAGGAGGAUCAUAGGGGAAAAGUGGUAACUUUAAAUCAAAGCUGGUAUCCGUAAACCUGUGGUAAUCUUAUCUAUUCAGCUUGUAGGAUCACACAGCUCUUCCUUUGUGAGAGUUUGUCCACCUUCUGAAUCAUAUAUUAUAAAAGAAUGCUACAGUAGAGAAAAUAGAUAAUAAAUGUUCCCUGCAGCUGGAUUACCACACUUUGCUUAAUCCAGGUAUGGUAGCUCCACAGGGGAGACCAUAACCCCUUCUCUGCAACAGAGCAAAGGUGGUGCCUGUCCUUCCGAAAUUCAUGACAUCAUCUUUAACUAGAAGUCGUUAAUGCCUGGAACCAAAUAAAAGAGCCUCAAGGAAAUAAAUAAGUGGUUGUAGAUAACAGCAUGAGAGUAAGCCAGCUGAUUUACUAACUAUGUUUCUAAUUUAGAAGUCCCUGAGUGGCACAGACAGUUAAGCACUUCUGAAAGGUCAAAAAACUAAAACCAAAUCCAUUGCCAUCAAGUUGGUUCCAACUGGCUAACUGAGCUUCUACUAUCAUAUUCUUGCCAAAAUAAGUUGUUUUUGUUGUUAGCUGACAUUGAGUUAGCCCACAACUCAUGGCAGCCGCGUGUGUUACAGAGUAGAACUUCUCCAUAGUGUUUGUUUUCUUGGCUGUAAUCUUUACAGAGAGAUCGCAAGGGGUUUCUUCCAUGGCACCACUUGGUGGGUUCGAACUGCUUUUGCCGCGCAGGGACCUUCCAGAAGGUCACAGACGUGAAAACCCUAUGGGGCAUAAUUAUACACUGCAACACAUGGUCACCACAAGUUGGAAUUGACUCAACAGCAACUGGUAUUUUUUUUUUCCUGUUGUUCCUAAUUUAUAGCUAUGAUCCCAAGUUUGAUACUUAAGCACAAGCUCUUAAUAUAAUACACACACACACAGAGUUCAUAGAUUUCAGCAGAAGUCAGAAAGAGGUGGUUUUUUUAGUGAAUUGACCGAGUUGAUACAUAAGUGCCCAUGUAGGCCUCGGCCCACUACUACAGUUGAAAAAGAAAUAAAGAAUAAAAAAAGAUUGCAUCUUCGUAUUAGUUUUUCUCAGCCUACCACAUCCUCUUUGUCUGUUGAUCACACUCCCACAAGAAGUCUGAAGGCUUUUGAAGCACUGCAGAGCAAAGUGACUUGAGCGCCAUGCCCUCUUCUGCUCCAAGUGGUGCCAUGAAGGCUCUGUAAUGAGUAUUUAAAAUGAUGCAUUUGCAGUUGCCUCUUUUUUAACCUCCCUCGAUUGCUAUCUCCUCACCCCCUAGAGAAAUAUCUCCCGUGUCUAACCGGAUGAGGUGAAGAAAAGGAAAUUGCAUUUAUUUUAAUCUUAAGGUUUAGCCAGAUGGGAACCAGCUUAAGUUUCAUCUGAAUAUGAUUUGAUUUUUUUCCCAUCUCACCAUCCCAUGUUGAGUUGCCUCUGACAACUGAUAAAAUUUACAUUUUCAAGCCAAUCUAGGAGUUAGGUAUAAAUAUGCAGAGUGAGCACUCAAAUUAACUCAAUGUUCUCAAAGUUAAAAAGGGUGAGAUCAGAGUAACUUCACAUAAGAAAAUUUCCAAUUUAUGCUGGUGAAGUGGAACAAAAUAGAGUAGAAUAUAGAUUUCAAAAUUCUUCCAAUUCCUAAUUUUUUAAUAGAGUAGGAACAUUCUAACAAAGUUGUUUAAUAAGUCUGAGACCCAUUGUCUCAUUAACUUUUAGGAUAAAAUUGAAGAUGAGUCUUAUUUGAAAAGAUGGUAGCAAAGAUUGAGCUGAAAAUACUUGUUAUGAGAUAAAUUAAAAUUUGGGGAAAUGUUAUGAGUUAUGAGGCAUUUGAAAUUUGAACACCUGUUAGCAGUUCACUUUUCUUUGCCACACUUAGGUACAAUUUAUGAAUGUCUAUUCUAAGGGAGCCAUGGUGGCGCAGUGGUUAAGAGCUAUGGCAAGCUACAGCUGCUAAACAAAAGAUCAGCAGUUUGAAGCCACCAGCAGUUCCUUGGAAACCCUAUGGGGACAGUUCAACUCUGUCCUGUGAAGUCACAAUGAGUCAGAAUCAACUCGACAGCAACAGGUUUAGUUUGGUUUCUUCCAAGGGAUUUCUUCAUUUCAUGCUGCAGCUACUAGAACUUUUUUGCUUUUAGUUGCUAUUGUUCUGAGUUUUCAUCGUAUCUCAUAGAUGAAGGGGCUAGAAAGUAAUGGGGUAGUAUUUGGUUUUAUACCCGUUUGAUUGAGGAUUAGCUUUCUAAUUCCAGUGGUCUUGGUCUAGAAACAGGGUUUUCUUUCUUUCUUUUUUUUUCCUCUUAACAGGCUGGUCUUUCCACAACAAACAGACUUGCAAGGUAUUGGUAAAGUAGGUUUUAUAUGAUUUCCUGCCCUACCUAGUUAGACCCAGUGGUAAAGAAAGGGAGAAAAUCUCUGCCCAAGGUAGAUAGAUAGAUACGUAGCUGCCUUUGACUCAAUUCCUGAUUCAUGGCAACCUUACGUACAACACAGAGAAGCGUUGCCUGGUCCUGCAUCAUCCCCAGGAUCAACGGCAUGUUGGAGUCUAUCAUUGCAGCAAUUGUGCCAAUCAAUCUCUCUGAAGGUCUCUCUCACCCUCGCUGGUCUUCUGCUUCACCAGACGUUAUGUCUUCCUCCAGUGAUUGAUCCCUCCUGAUGAUGUGUUUCCAAAGAAAGUGAGUCAGAGAGUGUUCCAUUGUGAUCCAUAAGGCUCGCAUUGUCUAAUUUUUCAAAGGGAUCACCAGGCCUUUUAUCCUAGUCUGUACACUCUGGAAUCUUUACUGAAACCUUUCCACCAUGGGUGACCCUGCUGGUGCUUGGAAUACUAGUGGCAUAGCUUCCAGGAUCAGAGCAACAUGCAAGCCACCACAGACAAAAAGGGAAUGAUAUGUAACAGAUUCUCACUGUUCGAUGCAGUACAGAAUGGGAGUGGAGUUGUUCCUACAAUGUGGAGGCUCCCAAAGAGCUUCAGCUGUGGUCUUGGGCUGCCUGGCAGAGGACUGUCAGGGCAUGGUUCUGACUCUUGUCUGGAGAGCACAAGCGUUGGGGACAAGUGAGCAGUCCUUUUAAAAUGAGGUAAUUAAUAACACUAUCAUAUUGCAAAUGCAAGGUGGUUACUUAAUUUCAAACCGCUAUUUUAUAAUUAAUUUUCAUCAGCCACAUAUUUACAUUUAAAGUCUACAGGCUUCAAGUAAUUUGGGGAUCAUCUGAUGACCUAAGGGGUAGUCUCAUUACUAUGUAAUAUUUGCUUAAGGGGUCCAGACAUCCUAAAGGAAAUUUCUCUAGGGACUCCUCAAGAUAUCCGUUCUUUAAUAAGCACCACCACCUACCCUUUUGUAAACCAGCCAGAACAUUCCUUAGAUUCAUCACAUCAGAUAAUGUACCAAAUAUACUGUCCUACUCCAUCAGUCCUGUAAGUUUGAAGUAUUGUGUAUUGAGCUGAUUUCUGAGUUACCUGUAUUUUAACUAUUUUAUUAUUUCAUAAGGUUGAUUUUCUUGUUUAUGUUUUACUCAAACAAAUGUUGAAUUUCAUUUGUCUUAAUGGACUGGGGCACAUAGGCAUUCUCAACUACAAUGUGAAGGGGUGGAAAUGUUCAGGGAUUAAUGUUGAUAACAAGUGGCAUCUAUGCUGGCACUCAGCUGUGGCUUUAUCACACCUUAGUGGAUUACACAUUAUGUAGUACUAAUAAUAGGGAAAGUACCAAGGCCUGCUAGUGAUUUCCUAGAGCAAGUUCAAGAAUGCCUGUUUUACAACGUCACUCUUACUUGCUAACAUACAUUCCAGAGAGGGAGAAAGUGGGAUAGACAGCUGGUAAGUGCACUACUCCACAGCCCAUCUCAUGUCAGUCACAGCCUCAGUUUAGGGCAGGCCUGGGAAUGGGAGGAAGCAUGUAAGCUUUCACAUGUGCCAAGGUGAAGUAGAAAACUCCCAUUCAUUUCCUCUCCAGUGCAGUGGGCAUAGGCCAAGGGAAACCGUGGCCUGUAUUACCUGUUGGCCUUCUCUGUUCUCUUAGCUCAGGAUCUUGUUUCUAAUGUUCUAAUGCAAAUGUUCUGGCUACCUCCAGAAUACUAAAUUUGGGGCUCUCUCAGCAUCAGGCAGAGGUUAGAACUGUUUUAUUUAUGGGUAAGAAUAACCUGCCUAGAGUCCAUAUUUCAGACUUAUCCUUCUGAGAUUUGUGAGUGAAUUCAGUCCAGGGACAGCCUACAAGAACACAUUCAUCACCCACAGAGCCAGCAUUUCCAGACAACUUUUUAACCUUCACAAGGUUAAUAACAAAGGAAAAUAAUUCUGCCUUUUUUUUUUUUAAGUUUUAUGAGAAUUUUCAAGCUGUUCCAGGCUAACAGCUUCAAUUUCUGGUUUGUUAAUUUUGUGAUUCCAAAGUUAAUAGAGAUAGCUGAGAGAAAAAGGAGUUCGUGCAAGAAUGUCGUCAUGUUUUAAUAGUUUGAAGCCAUUUCUGACAUUAUCUCCCUUUUUGAUUUUUUGUCUUAAGACUCGGCUUUUUCUUUUCUUUUUUUUUUUUUUAAUUUUCUUGUAAAAUAUGUAACAAAAAGUUUGCCAUUUUAACUAUUUUUAAGUGUAUGGUUCGGUGGCAUUCAUUAAUUACAUUCACCAUAUUCUUCUACUAUCACCAUGACCCAUUUCCAGAAGUUUUUCAUCUCCUUAAAAUGAAAAGACUCUUGACUUAAUUUUUUUCUGAUGGUGAAACAGAUAAUCUAUUCAUUAUAGAAAAACUUGAAAAUAUAAAAAAGAUAAAUAUCACCCCAAUAGCCAUUGUUGAUACACUUUGUAUUUUUGUACAGUUUUUUUGAUGAAUAUAUGUCUAGACAUCUUCAUCACUGUACCCCAGCAUACAGUAGAAUGUCUGAAAAGCAGUAGAUGCUCAACACAUAUGUGUGCCAUUUUAAUCAUCUCAUAUUCAUCCCAUGGAAACCCUGGUGCUGUAGUGGUUAAGAGCUAUGGCUGCUAACCAAAAGGUGUACAGUUCAAAUCCACCAGGCGCUCCUUAGAAGCUCUGUAGGGCAGUUCUACUCUGUUCUACAGGGUAGCUAUGAGUUGGAAUUGACUGGACAGCAGUGGGUUUGCCUCUUUUGGAUUCAUCCCAUUGGUGAAGGAGAGAUUUCCUCUCUAGGGUUUGGCAGUUGAGCAUAGCACCCAACACUGGACAGAUGAGAUGGACAGCAGUUUAUUAGUAACAUACAUCACAGCCUGAAGGAGGAGGAUACUACAUGCCACACAAGACCGUAUGGGAAUUGUGGUCAAGAACAAAGUGAACAACUUGGUGAUGUGGGAGGCAGGCUUUGUAGUAACAAGAGGGUAGGGUGUCCUCCAGUUCCCAUGGGCGAACAUGAUUGGCUUGUUUAAGUACUUCCACAGGCUGGCAAGGAACUGAAACUCACUACUCAGGGAUAGGCAGGAACUGAACUGGGUCGCCUUGAUAAGGAGGGCUGUUUGGUUAGGGUACCUUAUCUGUGGGAGCAGAGUAGGGAGGAGAGCUUGCAGCCAGGUCAUUCAAGGCCCUCCUGAUUUCACAAGAUGUUAAGGUAGCACAGAAUACUGGGCCUUAAAUUUAGGCCUUACACCACAUGUAGAAUGAACUGGAUGAUUAUUUCAUGUUGUUUUUUCAUGUUCCGCUUUCUUUUCAAUCAGUGGGGCAUCUUAGCACUCUUUGAUCAUAAUGUUUACUUCUAGAACAUCGUAUCUGCAGAUAAAUGUUUGGGCUGACUGCUGCCCCUCAGUAAUCAUGAAUUUAAGAGAUUUGCCUAAAUAUAAAUGGCUGCAUUUCCAUAGAAUACAUGGUUCCUGAUUUUUAUGGGGUCUUCUUUAAGUCCUGACAAAGUUUGUCUCACAUAUGCAGCUUGUACGAACUUGUUUCUGCCCCUAAAAUUGGCCAGAGAAUUUAUGCCCAAUUCCUUUUUGUUGGCAUCUCUGUGCUGCAAUCAGUCAAAAAUCUUCUUGCAGUUUAUUGUAACCUACUUAUUUUUCUUAAUGGAAUAAUGCAAGUGAAUUUCCAAGUAACAGCAAAUUAUAAACAUAUUACCCUCUGGUUUCUGUAUUUUUAAAAAUAAUUUUUUUUAUAUCCUAUAUUUUUUUUUUAUAAUUGAUGUGAACUGUUGGACCCAAUUUUCUCAGUGUCAGUGUCUCUGUGAGGCACUAAGGCCCACUGAAGCGAAGCCACGAUAGCCUCUUCAGGGAACAACCCCAGAAGGCCUGGGUGCUGGGUGCUGAGGGACAGCCACCAACUGCAGCCAGUGGCCACACAUACAGAAGGCCUUGCAUUUGAACCUGGAGAGUCACUCCCUGUCGAGCGAGAUUCCGUUUUGCCUCAUUUUCGACAUUGCUCUCAAAGUGCUAAAUAAUAGAUUCAGAGGAGUUGGGCCAUAUACCCGUGCAUGCAUGCUUGCAUUAAGGGCACAGACCUCCCAGACCCCAUGGUAACUGCAGGUUUCUGUGCUUCGCUCUUUCUUCAUGGUUGAAUAAUGGUUGAAGUCUCAUCUUCCCAGAUAGCUUGGAAGUUGUUCAAGGAAGGCAACUUUCUUAUACUUGUUUUUGUCCUCCAAUCUCCUGGGAUGGGAGCAUUUUCACUUCCAAAGUAAAUAUAUUGAAAUCUGAGAAUACAGAAGAAAAGUCUAUGCUAGAGAAAAGAAGUUGGGAGUCAUUGCCACAUGAGUUGUUAAAAUCAUCGGGUGGGUUAAGGUGGUCUCAAGAGAAGUCGGAGCAAGAAGAGUGGGAUGCAGACCCAUGGAACUCCUUCAUUAAGGGUUUUGUAGAGGAGGAAGAGGAGAAGGAACAUGCAACGGAGUGGCCAGGACUAAAGGGAGUGAAGGGUAGAACCAGAAGAUGGUGGAGGCAUUGGCAAAUGCCACAAAGAGUCAGGUUAGAGGAGAACUGAAGUGUGUCCUGGAAGACAUUGGAGACUUUAAGCAAGAGCAGUUUCCAUAGAGGGAUGGAGAUGGAAGGUAGAGUGGAACGUGUGAAGGGUAAAUGAGAGAUUGGGAAGUAGAUACCGCUGAUGGAGAAAGCUCCUUCCAGGAGCCUAUCUGUGAGGGAGUGUGAAGACAUAGGGCCAUAUUUGUUGUGUAUAUGUGUAGGGUAGGGAGUUGGAAUCCUGGAAGGUUUUUUGUUUUGUUUUUGUUGGUGUUGGUGUGUGUGUUUUGUUUAUUUCUUUAAAGGCAGGAAAAAGUAAAGCAUCUAUCAAUGAUGUGCUAGAGCCAAUUGUUAACUUUUUAGUGAGUUUGGAAGCAGAUUGAACAGUUGGCAGCUUAAAAUUGGCCAUACUGGGGGUAUUUACACCACAGAAACUGGCAAGCACAAAAAAAUCUCCUACUACCGCCAUCAAGACCUGGUUGUUAAAGUUUAGCAGCACACAACUGAGCAUAUUUGAAUCCCGGUAGGCAGGAUCCAGUAGGGACAGGAAAGAUGCCUGAUGCAAGGGAGAUGCUGACGGUGCCUGGUCCCAGAGGAUAGGGAAAGAGAUGGAAUCCGAGUACUUGUGGGGAGACUGGCUUUUAAAAACAGGAAAGAUACAGCCUCCAUUUUAAUAGAAUGUAAAGGAAAGAGGAUGGGAGAAGACAGAGCCAUGAUUCAUAAUAACAAUGGUAAUUAUCAAAGCUAACAUUGUUGUGUGCCUUUGAGCCAAUUCUGACUCAUAGCAACCCUAUUUGACAGAGUGGAACUACCCCAUAGGGUUUCUUAGGCUGUAGUCUUUAUGGAGUGGAUUGCCAGGUCUUUCUCCCACAGAGCUACUGGUGGGUUUGAACUGCCGACCUUUCCAUUAGCCAAAGACUUAACCAUUGUGAUACCAGGGCUCCUUAAAGCUAACAUUACUGAGUACCUAUUAUGUUCCAGGCACAUGUGCUUCACCUGGAUUAUCUCCUAUAACACUCACUACUCUGAAGCAGGUACUGUCAUUAUCUCUUCAUAGGUGAGGAACCCUAGGCACAGAGAGGUGAAAUAGUUUGCCAACAGCUAUUUGAACUCAAUGAUCUGAUGCUCCAGCUCUCAAUACAAGGACCCUACGCUGCGUCUUGCAUCUCAGAGAAGGUGUGGAUUCUGUGACAGGGAAUUGACGCAGUUCCCUAGCGAUAGGCUCUGUUCUCCCUGUGAAGAAUGCAACAACAUCACCUUAGAGUGAGGAAGUUAAAGGAUGCAUUUAAAGAAAGUAAAAAAUGUAAAACAUAAUUGUUGUGGAGUGGGGCGAGAAUGUUGUCUAGAGAAACAUGAGAAAAUGCCCAACAGUGCUGAGGGCUUAGUUGAUAGUUUUGAUCAUAAAUAUGCAGUGAGAUCACUUCCUUCAGUCACCUCUGCUGCUUCUAUUUAAUCACAGUGGAAGUGGCCUGUGGGCUCCCUCAUGGGUAGGAUAUUGAUAGGUCAGUGGAACAGAUCAGAAGGACAAAAGGAUUUAGGGAAUUUGGAGGGAAAAACAUGAUUCUGCUUAUGGACCGUGGUAUCUGAACAGGAGAAAGAAGCAUGUGGAGGCAGGAGGAGGCUUUGAUGAGGUUGAAGAACUAUAACAAUUAGAACGUUUGAACUAGUUAGGAAGAUAGGACAGGGGCUGUCUUUGGAAGCUUGAGCUUUGGAAUUAUUGAUUCUGGUGAUACUUCAGUUUCUGGAUACUCUAAGUUCACGGUAUGAGUAUUGAAAGGGGUAGCUGAGGCGGAAUGGGAGCGAGGGUCUCCGGAGAUGAGGUCAAAGCUUAUACAUGCGAACCUGAAAGUAGUCCAGAAUGAUGGCAGAAGUUAUGGUGAAGAGGAAGACUCUGUCACUGGUUCUAGUUGCUGUCUAGUUGAUUCCUACUCAUGGUGACCCAACGUGUGCCAGAGUAGAACUGUGCUCCGUAGGAUUUUCAGUGGCUGACUUUUUGGAAGAAGAUGUCUAGCAUUUCUUUUGAGGUGCCUCUGGGUGGAUUCGAAUCUCCAACCUUUUGGUUAGUGGCCAAGCACUUCACCAUUUGCACAGCCCAGGGACUCCAACAGUAAGUUACAUUGUGUGUAUUGUGGCUCCUAUUGUUAUUGGGUGAACAUGUUAAAAUUAUAUAUUAUGCCUUGGAGUGAAGGGAGACUGUUUAUUUUCUCUUUGAUCCCUCUGGAAUUCCUGGGCUCUCUCUCACUGGAAAGGUCACCUGGUCAGGUGGUGCCAGUGAAAGGGAAUAUUUCUCUUUCUGAAAAAUAGCCUGUAGUGAGUUGCUAAUGCAAGUGUUGCUUCAGCUGGACCUCAUCUUGAAGACAGUUUGGAACUAUAAAAGAAAAACUCACACUGGACAAUGUUAAAACAUGCCAAAGAUAACUUAUUCAAGAGGAAAUUUUAAGGGAGAAGAACGGAGUAAGGGAAGUGAAGGUGGUUAUUGUUGUUAGCUGCCAUCAAGUCAGUUCCAACUCAUGGGGACCCCAUGUAAAGCAGGUUUAGACCAUUGUGAUUCAUAGGGUUUCCAUUGGUUGAUUUUUGAAACUAGAUCACCAGGCCUUUCUUUCUAGUCCGUCUUGAUCUGGAAACUUUGCUGAAAACUGUUCAGCAUCAUAGCAACACACAAGCCUCUGCUGAUACAUAGGUGGUGACUGUACAUGAGGUACAUUGGCUGGGAAUUGAACCCAGGUCUCCUGCAUGGAAGAGAAUUCCACCACUGAACCACCAUUGCCUUGAAGGGAACGUAGGAGGGAGGGAGGACACUACAGUGAGGAGAGAGAUACCAAACACAGGUCUGUGCUCCGAUUCCACCGAGAUGCAGGAGUCAGGACACAGGACUGCCAGCUUUUUUAUUUUUUUUUAUUAACUUUUAUUGAGCUUCAAGUGAACGUUUACAAAUCAAGUCAGAUUGUCACAUAUAAGUUUAUAUACAUUUACUCCGUACUCCCACUUGCUCUCCCCCUAAUGAGUCAGCCCUUCCAGUCUCUCCUUUCGUGACAAUUUUGCCAGCUUCCAACUCUCUCUAUCCUCCCAUCCCCCCUCCAGACAGGAGAUGCCAACACAGUCUCAAGUGUCCACCUGAUAUAAUUAGCUCACUCUUCAUCAGCAUCUCUCUCCUACCCACUGUCCAGUCCCUUUCAUGUCUGAUGAGUUGUCUUCGGGGAUGGUUCCUGUCCUGUGCCAACAGAAGGUUUGGGGACCAUGACCACCAGGAUUCCUCUAGUCUCAGUCAGACCAUUAAGUAUGGUCUUUUUAUGAGAAUUUGGGGUCUGCAUCCCACUGAUCUCCUCCUCCCUCAGGGGUUCUCUGUUGUGCUCCCUGUCAGGGCAGUCAUCGGUCGUGGCCAGGCACCAACUAGUUCUUCUGGUCUCAGGAUGAUGUAGGUCUCUGGUUCAUGUGGCCCUUUCUGUCUCUUGGGCUCUUAGUUGUGGUGUGAUCUUGGUGUUCUUCAUUCUCCUUUGCUCCAGGUGGGGGACUGCCAGCUUUUUAAAGAACAUUAAGUGUUAGGGAGCGGGUGAGUGAAAUACUGAGAUUGCAGUUAGGGCCAGUUUGCUAAGAAUGUUUCCUUUUUUUUAUAAGGCCACCUAGAUCCUAGGAGACUAGGGGAAACAGAGGGGAAGAUAAGGAAAGGGAAACUAGUUAUUCUAAAAGAGUAAAUCAUUAAGUCUUAGUUUCUUCCACUAAGCCCUGCUGUUUGUCAGAACAGAAAAGUUUGGGGGGAUUUCUUUAACAAAGGGCUCAGGUAAAAUUCAACAUAUUCACUACUCAGUGAAUGCAAAGCUCGACCUAACUAUGGAUUCCCUUGCUCAGGGGCAGUGUUCCCUUAUACUCUAAGUGGGAAUUAUUUUCAUAACUUAAUUCAUCAGGCCCGGGAGGCAAGCUGCAGUUGCUAUGGGAACAGUAUCUGAAUUUCCUGGCUUUUGUACAUUUAACACAUAAACAAUGAUGCUAUAGUGACAUAGGUAUUUCUUCCUUUUCUCACUUUCAUUUCCUUUUUAGCAGGAUUACUGUUAGGGGAAGGAGAAGGAGAAUUUAAUUUCACAGGCUGGUUUAUCUGAUUAAGGCGUCAGAAUAUUCUGCUGUUGAGUAAUUUUCAUGGUAAUUACAUGCCCCAAGAGUGCAUGUGUCUAAACUUUACUUCCUACCUUCAGUACUAGUUUGGACCAGGCUUUCUAGCAUCAUGGAGGUCCUCGCCGAAAGUUCCAGAGAGAAAUGUUGUUCACCUUCAUACACUAGGUGCCCAGCCUAGUGCCUCAAACUGAAAGGUGUUUAUUGAACUUGUCAUGGCUUUGUGUGCUAUGAUAAGUGAACUGCAAAUUUAGAAUUUUGUGCUCAUUCACAUUGCGUCUUGAUCACCACGAGUCAUUUCUUCACUAACAUUGAAAGGCCUUUUGGGUUAAGUAUCUAUACGCACCAAGUUUAUGGCUGUCAGAGAAGCACUUGCAUUGCAUUUCAGGGCCACAUAAUCUUUAGCCUAACAUUUGCAUAUUAAUGGAUAAUUGCAAAACAUUAUGUAAAUUGUACAUGGUGGUGAAUAUAUUAUCAAAUCAAAUUGCCUUUAGGGGUAAUUACAGGAUGCUGCUAUGUCAACCAGGAAGCUGCAGGUUGAAUGUUAACACUUCUUACGGAAUGAAAUGGAAACCCAACAGAGUUUAUUUCUGUCCAGAGUCACAAGGUGCCUUUCAGUGUGACUCUUCAUUUUUGUCAAUGAAGCACACUGGGAUGAUAUCAGCUGCAGAAUAUUACGGAUUAAAAAAAUAAAAUCCUGAUUGAAACCUAUUGAAAUGUGGAAACUUUCAGAUUGCCAAUCCAAAUGUUUGGGUCACAGAGAUUUGUCCCAUGUCUUUCAAAAAGUAGACUUGUUCUGAUGUAUUUUCAUAUAUACAUAUGUAUGUGGAAAUACAUUAGAAUAUUAAAAUAAUCUAUGAUCCUAGUAAAAUAUAACAGAUCUCAGCCUCCUCAAGGUACCCUUCUCCUACCAUAAUGCUUGAGAGUUAACCAGUAUAUUGCGGGCUUAUUCUGUGUCACUACCUGGAAAUUGAGGGCAUCAUUCUUUGUAAUGGCUUCAUGAUACAAAACCAUUUUGAACUCUUUCAUUGGUUGAACUAUUUUGCCUUGGUGCGUAUUCCUUAACUCCAGUGAAUGAAUGACUUCAUCCAUUGCUAGCUAUUUACAUGUGCCCUCUUUGAAGACCAGCAUCUGACUUACGGUCUAUUCUUACUACAUAGUCUGACUCGGUGUCUGUUCUGUAUAUGGUGGCCAAGGAAGCAUUGUGGUUGGGAAGAAGGAUGGAAGGAAGCGUGUAUGUUGCUUUUCUGUUAGACUGAUAAGUGCUACCACCAUGGAAUGGAACUUUGGGCAGCCCCAGUCACUGUCUCCAACCAUUCGUUAGGAUUGCUGUAUUGGGAAAGAAAUAAGGCUUCUCUUUAGAACAUGUCCUUUUCCAUAAAGGAGAUCUGUAAAUUUGGACUAUAUUCAGUGCUUUGAAGGGAGGCAAAAAAACUGUUGCCAUUGAGCCUACACUGACUCAUGGUGACCCCAUAUGUGUCCGAGAAGAGCUGUGCUCCAUAGAGCUUUCAGUGGCUGAUUUUUCAGAAGUAGGUUGCUAGGUCUUUCUUCCGGAUGAGAGGCUACCUCCCUUGAAAUAUGUCCUGGUAUUAGGCAGUAGAUGACAGACCAGCUGGUCUUUACCACCAUUUAAGUCUGCUCACUUUCUUUCUUAGUCUGUUCCUUUCUAAUCCCAGUUUCUUAAAAAGUAAAAUAAAUUCUCUUUUUCAUCUUAUUUGAUUUCCCAUUAAUCUAUUUCUGGUUCUCCAGUCAGAGAAAACUGAAGUCGAACAAGUUUAUGGUAAAGCAAACCUAAUGCUGUGGUAGGUGUCGACUUUCUGAACACAAAGUAUAAACAAUGACCAACUUUGGAAACUCAGUCACCAACAAAAAGAGUCAUUGAGAUGCGAAUCUGGAAAUCUGAAUCUUAGCCCCAGCAGCUUCUGUGAUCAGUACUUGUUCUGUCUGAGUCAUGCCCUCCUCCUGCCCCGCUCCUCACCAAACCAGGCUGCAAGCAGGUGACUGGUGCGUUAGCCCAGACUUUUCACAACUUACUUAGGUUUAGUUAUUCUGUUAAUGAAAUAAAACAAAACUAAUGAUCUAAUAUAUGGGGACUGAAACUCAAAAGCAUUGUUUCGGUCAGUUGUAGAAUUUUGUAGGCCUGUUUCUAACCAGACAGAGGGAAAGGAGCUAUGGUUCAUUAAAAGACACUUCUGCGGCUUUCUUAGCACGAGGACUUAUAGUCAGGUGGCUAAAUCCCUGCUUGUCUUUCUGGCUUUGUGACCUCAAAGAAGUUACUUAACUAAAGCUUUUGGAUACCAGCCUUUAAAGGUGGAGUAAUGAUUCUUAUCUCACAGGACUAUGGAGAAGGUUAAAAGAUCACCAAUAUGAUCGAACCUAGGCUCUAAUCCAUAGUAAGUGCUCAAGUACAUGUGUGUUUCCUCCUGUAUCUUUGUUUCCAUCCUCUUCCUGUGAUUGUAUCACAGAAACACCUUAAAAGUAAUUAUUGUUAAAAGUAAAAUGCCAGCAGGCGGCUGGCUGGAUGGACGUGUAGGUAGGUACCUGCCCUCAGGCAAGUCAUUUAUUUAUCUUUCAGAUGCCUUUUCUCCAUUUCCAGCUCAGAUUGGUAAUUUGGAGCCAUUGGGAACUGAUGAGAAGAUGAAAGGCAUUGUUAUCAUUAUUGCUCUGGUGCCAGGAGGUGUCAUGUGGGAAAAUUUGAAAAAGGAAAAUGAUAAUAAAGAAUAAAGAUACCUGCCUAGAAUUAAGCUCCGGUGUCCAAAGCCUCCUUCAUAUGAUUCCAAAGCCACAUUUCCUUAAGUGGGAGUUGAGGUUUAAUCUCCUUGCCAGUUGGAAAUAAUUCCUAAUGAUUAACAUAACAGUGAAUCAUUUUUGGGCUAGUGAAAUACUAUUGAUGGCAGUUAGGAGUGAAAAGUUGUGAAAUACACAGAAGCGGGUUUUGCCGUACAAUGAAAGAGGAAAAUAAAACAGCCGAUGAAUAGACCAUAAAAUAUUUUCUAUUAAAAUAUACUGAAAGUUUGAUACACAUAAUAGUAGUUUUUAACAAGGACGUGUUAUCAGAUUUUUAUGGUAUUCCGUGUAGAAAGAGCUGAUAAAUUGGUCCUAAGUGUGCUUAUCUGCCUUGAGAUAAUUAAUUGUAACCUUUUCCUCAUGGCAACCACUGCAAAGGCUUGAGACCUGUUUGGUUCCCCGUUUCACAGAGAUCCAGCAUUGUCUGCAAAAGCAGAUAGAGUAGCUUCCCUGGGUGGAUGAGAAUCACCCCCUUGGGUUCAUUAAGAGAAGCCAUCAGUAUGGUAAAUGAAGAGGAGAGAAGGUAAAGAACUGUCUCAGGGUGGUUCACUGGACAUUAAGUUGUUGGAAAAGGGCCCAACAUCAGCCUCUCAUCUGAGACUCUAAAAUGGGGAGAUUUUUCAAGGCCUCCGGUGGCUUUGGCAGGAAAUCAUGAGCCAGUGGAAGGCCUCAUGGAUAGCAGUACUGAGUCUGAUGGGCAUAGACCCUACCCAUCAGUCACCUUAGGCCCUUUCUUCAAGUCUCCUAUGAAGGGAAGGAGCCCACUAUGGGUUCCAGAAAUCUCUGAGAAAUCCUUUUUGUAUAUGGAUGAAAUCGAAGCCACAACUCUAAACUUCCUAAAUAGUUAAUAACCACUGAGGAAUCCUUCAACCAAGUAUCUUCAGGUGGGGACAUGGCCCCAUGUGGAAGCAGGGCCUCCUGGUGGGUUUCUAGAUGUGAUUUCAGUCUGUUUUCAAUACCCAGAGACCACGUUGGUUCUUUGGGGGACUACCCCAGAGGCUCCUGUAUUGAGAUUCUCCGGGGGAGGAGAGGGCAUAUCAUCUUGACAGAGGGAGUCUAGUCCUGGCUGAACGUUCAGAAGUUGUUUAUCUGCCCUCGUGGCACAUGUAAACUCAUUUCUCAUCAGUUCCUCUAGUCAUUCUGGUGAAAGCUUGUGUCGGGGGAGGAAUCCUUUUCCUCACUUUAUCCCUGUCCCCCUCUGAUUGUUAUGCCGCCACCACAGCAGAGCAGUGAAGGGGUAGCUGAGAGUGCCCUCAAGGGCGGAGGGAAAGAGAGCAGCAGGCACAUGACUCUUCACCUCUCAGGUAUUUAAAGUGAGUUUAUUACUUUUUAUUCCCAUACAAGCAUACUUUUUUUUUUUUAACUAUUCAAGUUUUAUUAAAUAUUAAGAUCUUAAAAUAUAAAUUUAUUCUUUUUUAUUGUUGUAAAAAUAUAGAUAACACAUUUGCCAAGUCAGCAUCUUUCGUGUGUAUAAUUCAGUGGCACCAAUUAAUAUCAGUCAUCUCUUGCAAUGAUCACCAGUAUCCAUAACCAAAUUUUCUGUCACCAUAAAUAGAAACUCAGCGCUUCCUAAACAAUUAUCCGCCCAAUUCCUCCCCUUCUCCUGCCCUGGUAACCACUAUUAAACUUUGAUCUUCAUGCAUUUGCCUACUGUAGGUAUUUUAUGUAAGUAAGAUCAUACACUAUUUGUCCUAUUGUGGUUGACUUACUUCACUCAGCCUAACGCUUUCAAGCUUUCAAGGUUCAUCCACGCUGUAGCAUGUAUCAGGACUUAACUUUAUGGCUGAGUAAUAUUCCAUUGUAUGUAUAUACCACAUUUUGUUCAUCUGUUCUUCUGUUGCUGGAUAUUUGGAUUGUUUCCACCUUCUGACUUGGGAAUAGUGCUGUGGUAAACACCGAUGUACAUGCAUCUACUUGCAUUGUUGUCUUCAAGUUUCUUCGGUGUAUACUUAAGAGCGGAACUGCUGGGUCAUAUGGUAGCUCUAUGUUUAACUUUUUAAGGCACACAAACAUACUUUAUUUUGAUUGCAUAAAAUUUAGAAACAUUUGAAAAACAAGGAAUACUGUGAACAACAUAACAAACAUUAAAAAGAACAAUAAAAGAAACAAAUGCUCCGGUAUUUCUGUUUGAUUCCUUUUUCAUAAUUUCUGUUUAAUUGGUUUUCUUAUUUUGUUCAUGCAUUAUUUUUCUGAUUUCCUUUAGUUCUUUUUUCGUGUUUUUCUUUAGCUCUUUGAACAUAUUUAAUCUUUUUUUUUUUUUAAGUCUUUGUCUGUUAAGUCCGUUUUGGAGAUUCCUUCAGGAUGUUUUCUUUCGCUUUGCUUUGUCCUUUUGAAUGGAUCGCCGUUUUCUAUUUUUAUGACUUAUAGUUUUUUGUUGAAAAUUGGACAUUUGAAUAUUAUAAUGUGGUAACUCUGGAAAUUAGAUUCUCUUCUAGGGUUUGCUUUUAGUUUUGUUUUAAGACUGUAAUGGUCUAUUUGUUUAAUGCUUCUGCAAUUUUUACAAUGACUGACUGCCUUCUUGGUCACAGUUGGUCACGGAAGUCUGUUUCUUAACUUGUGCUAAUGUAGUGUUUUGACAGAGAGUUUCUUGAAUUCCAGGGGAAAACAAAAUAAAGCAAAAUUCUCUCCUGGUCUCCAGGGCACUCCUUCAACACCUAACCAGGCUUGCACUGAGCCUAUGGAUAAACCCUAGGUAAAAGCAUAGGGUCUUUUCGGAUAUUUUCCGUGCAUGCAUCCUGCCCUUGGCAUGUAUGUGACUUUCUAAAUUCCCUUGUAUGUACAGAUACUUUUGAAUGCCCUAAUUUCUCAAGGAUUUUAUGCCUCAGUUUCACUUUUUUAUCCCCAGAUGGCUACAAGCAGUUACAGUGUUUGGACAAUACCUGCUUUUCCACCUGGUGUCAGUUGAGAUAGGCCAAACAGAGAUGAGUGCCUUGUUUCAGUCCUUCAGUUAUCCCCAGGCAGGUUAGAACAGACCACAUAAUAAUUUGUGAAUAAUCCAGUUCUUUGUUUCCUCCAGAGCCGGGAAAUAAGAAUCCCUCUCUGGGACUGCAGGCAGCUACGGCUUUAAGACUUCACUGAGCUGGGGAGGGGGUAGAACAUGAAUCCCUAGAAAACCAAAACCUUCUUACGAUUUUGAAGUUGCCUUUUUUAAUGAUUCAGUAUUUUCUUAGUUUCUGUAAUCUCUGACUAAUUUCCAGAGUUAUAACAAAGUUCUCCAGUUUCUGCUUUUUUUUUUUUUGGUGUUUCUGUGGGCAGAUAGGAAUCGUGAGCUGCUUUUAGAGCCACCUUGCUGAUAUCACUGUCCCUGAAGUGAAUUUUAAAUCUACAAUGGAAAUGUGAUAAGCCAGUUUAUAAUUCUUUUAUAAGAGUGGUGCACACGCACACACACAGACUUAUUUUUAAUUUUGCACCUGCGUUGCUUUGACUUCAGAGAAAAAUCCCGGAAAAAGCACCUUAGCAUUCAUACGCUAAGCCCCGCAGAAUCAAAAAAAGUGAGAAUGGGAAGGAAUCGGGGAACUAAGGGAGUCUAUGGGACUCUGCACUUGAGGCCUCUGCUGAUCUGUGACAGUUUUCGUUGUUUGGCAGCCAGUGACAUAUAUGUAAGCUAUCAUGGUGUGUGUGUGUGUAUGUAUGCAUGUGUGUGUGUGUGCCAAGUUGUCACCUGUCUUUUUUUUGUAGUACUGCAGGACUAACCUUCUACUGUAACUGUGUCCUGCCAACCUCCUUAGCGUUAGAAAUGCCUAGCCUUUUAUAAAUGUGGGUGAUGAUGUUAGAGGAUUUUAAAAAAUUGUUUUCCUUGCCACAGUAUGAAGCUGGUAACAUUAUAUAAAUUCCCAAACUUAAAAAAAAAUGCUUUCCAGUCUGAAAAGGUCCAAAAUAGAGAUCACUAAGCUAGCUCAACUGCCGGCACCACUCCCUACUAAACUGAACUUCGUAGAUAAAGUUCAGGAUGGCGAAGAGACUUGUUCUCCCUAAUAGACACAGAGGUGAGAUCAUUCUGUGUGUGUGUGUGUGUGCACGCGCGCGCAUGCAUCAAAAGCUUAGACUAGCCUCUCCUCCUCUGAUGAUGUUCUGAAUUUGCUGGGCCGAGGUGGUGUUAUUGAGCUGGGUAAAGAUUCUGUAUGUUGGAGAUAUCUGGAAGGAGAAAUGAUGAAGGCGCUGUAAAGAACAAGGCUCAUGAAAGAAUCUCUUUUGUAGUGUAUUUCAUGAGAACACCUUGGCUUUGGAACUUGUCUUCUACUUCCAAAUGGUUUUAACAUCUCCUACCUGGAGUGACAGUUGGCAGGACUUCUGUCCUAUAGAGAGCAAGCUGUGGAGAUCACUAAGAGAGUCAGCCUUCCAGCACUUCAUUCUCUUUAAUCUUCUAAACUAGACAUGUGCAUGAAUAGUCAUUAAAAUUUAAUGUUUUUCAAUAGCAUGACAAGUCUGAACCAUGAUAUCCUUGAUUCUAACCUCUUAUACUAGGCUAGGAUGCAAGGCCAACCAAAGGAUAAUGUAUAAGAGGGAAAAAAAAGUAAAAAUAUGCCACUGAUUGUGUAAUUCCCCUCAAAAUGAUCAUAAUUUAUGUCUUGUUAGGUUUAUAUCAGUCCAUUUAACAAUCAUUUAUUAAGUACCUUCCUCCACCAUAUUGUCAUUUAAAAAUAUAAUACAUUUUUAGUACUUAGCAUGUGCUAGAUAUUUGGCUAAUAAUUUUUACAGUUGUUAUUUCAUUUAAUACUUAAGCCAUUCUAUGGAACAGGUACUAUCUUAAUCUUCAUUUUACAGUUGAGAUAACUUGGUCAGGGAUCCAGAAGAGUUCACAGCUUAAAGGUGACCAAAUAACAACUGGUACUCUGUACUCUAACUCCCAAAGCCCCACUCUGCCCACUGGGCUCAUCUGUCUUAAAGAACUCAGUUCUUGCCCUAAGUGUAUCACUGUAUUUCUCUUCUUCCUUCCCUACUACCACAUAUUCACACUCACAAAGAGAAAAGCAGCUGUUUUGGUGGUCUACUAGUGCCAGAACCCCUUUCCUCUAAAUGUCCAACGGGAUCCCAUCCUUGGUGUCAUACAACCCUGACAGACUGGACAAGUCAAAUGUACCUGCUUAGAAAGAAAGUGAGGCAAGGCAAGUUUCCUUCAUUUUCCAUAUUGUCCUUUUCCUAAAAAUUCAGAUUAAAUGGACCCAGUUUGUAGUAGGCAUUUCCUGGUUUUGUUUUCUAACAGAAACCGCCACUUCUUGUCAUGGACCAGGGUUCUGUUUAAGCUUAUCCAUCAGAGCUGUGCUUGAUCUGAGCAAGGUGGUUGCUGUAGGGAUUCUGAAGGAAGGAGCUCCCAGAAAUAUUUAUCUUAUUGUCAAGUGAUGCAUGAAAAGCUAACCCUGCCUGGUGCCCCUGUCAAAAAAGUCAUUUAGAAGAAACAGCAACUGGUGUGGCUUUUUAAUCACUGCAUUUCUUCCCUCUUGGGUGCACUGACCUUGCAAAGAACUGGCUAGGGAUCCAUAGUCCAUAAAAGUAGCGAUGUUUAUAAACCACCUUUCCUCCAAUGUGGAAGAACUACACCACAAAUUUUACUAAAAAUAAAAUAUUCCUGAAAUAGCAUUGAGGGAGGUAAGACUGUUUAAGUUGUAAAUUAUUUCCGGGUAGGACUAUAUAUUUAUUUUUUUCUCCUCAAAUCAGCAAUGCUUACUAAAUAUUUUCUGAUUAGUGGAUUACUGGUUAAGGUUAAGAUCAGUGCUAAAUCGUGUUGUCACAGGAUGGGUUACAUAGAAAUUUGUAGCCGCCCUUUCAGUGGAAGCUAUGAGCAGGGCUGAUAGUGGCAACUCACUGUAUAUGGCUGGGCAUUGCCCAACUCUAAGAUGUGCCAUUCACAUAGAUAAUGAUGAUAAUGGUGUCCCCUAGAGUUAGAAACUGCCCAAUCGUGUAGCAGCUCAUUUGGGAUCACAGCAGGAUCCAUGACUAACCAGACUUAAUGAGCAUUUGGUAAACAGGCACAUUCCCUGGACAGCUUCUCACUCUCAGAGUCAUAGGAGACAGAACCAAUGAGAGACUCCACCUACUGGAGGACUGGAGCUAAUGACAUCAUAUACAGUGUUGAAUAUCAACUCAUAAGCUGUUUGGGGGCAGAUCCUACAAAUGGAUGGUUAGUGACCACGUCUUGUUGAUUCUUGGUAGACUAUCUGGGCAGUGAUUCUGCAGGGCUUUGGGGGUUAGGUGUCUUGACUAGAUUUACUCUCAUACCUGAACUUCUUAAAUCCGUGUCAUUAUGGACCCAGGAGUCUUUGUUCAGCUCCUUCUAUGGUAUCAAGUAUCAAAAGAUGAAGAAACUGAGGCUCAGGGAGGGAACUCAGCUUGUCCAAAUUCACAUAGCUAGUAAGCAGUAGAGAUGGAGUUUACCCACAUCUUGAAAGCCUGUGUUCUUUGUAUUUCACUCUGCUGCUUCUAGUUUGGGCAGGGUUUUCUGUAGACAUUCCAGUUCUUUGUUUCUUGUUAUCUUCUCUGUAUAUCCAUCUACCAGUCACUGGAGGCACUUUCUCAUAUUCAUUUUAAUGUUCAGUGUUUAUGUUGUAGUAUCAGUUGCACCUGCUUUUUGACUUGGCUGACAGGGAGACAUGAGUAUCGUGGGGAAGCUAAAUGAUAAACUCCUUGGAAAUCUCUUCCCUGGGUGAUGGAAUAUGCUCAGCCCUAUUGUUUGUAAGCAAAAGCAUUACUACUGGGACAAGAAAUGCAAUGCAUAUGCUAAUAUGUGCAUGAAUAGUUGGAAGGAUGUCUGAAUCAAAGAAGCUUGUCUGUUUCACAUUUAUAGCCAAUGGAUGUUGAAUUUUUUUCAGCAGGCUUUCAAUGAAAUGGGAGAGGUGCCAGAAGCUGGAUAUGACUAUGUAAUAAUGCCUUCCUCUGAAUUGCUAUAGGGUGGCAUGUUAUUUGCAAGGGGUUGGAUAAAAUGGUUAUGAACCCUAAAAUCCUAUGAUUUUCUAAAUAGCAGAUAAUUAUAUAGUAUACAAAUCCCUUAGCUAUACUUAAGAUGAUUUGAAUAAGCCCAAAUUCUUAAAUUUAACUUAAAUUAAAAAAAAAAGAAAAAAUCUUUUUUUUAAUUUAAAUUAGGAUUAUACAAAAUAUUUAAAUUUUAUUUAUUUUCAGAUUAUCUGUAAAUUUUCAUAGCAUAUUUUACCUGUUAUUACUAACCCCUAUGUGAAAAUGGCCCCUUGUAACUUUCUGGAUAACUAACUUUUAGCAUGUAUCACUGUCCUCCUUACAGUUCAGUUCUUAUGCCCAUAACCAAAAAAAGGUUUUUUUAAAUAGGGACCCCGUCAUGCAUCUUUGUGGUAGGCACUUAGUCAGUGUAUGCUAAGGGCCUGAAAAAUCAAUGUUAUAAUUUUCACAAAUCUUUAAAGGUAAAUUUUGAAAACUAUAUUAUAUAUAUAUAUAUAUUUUUAGUGGGUUAUUGAUAAAUACAAGUUUGUUUGGUAUUUGCAAGAGCAAGUAAACUCUGAGAGACAUUUUGGAUUCACUAAACUUGAUUUCUACCAAAACAUCACUUCCUUUUCUGUCAUAGGUAUUAGCACGAUAAACUAGACAGGUGUUCUAAAGAGAGUGCAUCUAAGUUCUUGAGAAUUUCUCAAGAUCAUUUCCUUGGAUGGAGAAUGAACCUGACCUUACCUAUAUCCUUUUAAAGAUUUGAGUCCAUGAUCAGAACAAAGGCAUGCAGAUUUUUCAGAAUAUGCCAAACCAAAAGGGAUCUUUCAUAAUUAAAGAUUUUCACAUGUCCCAAUAGGCUGAAUCCAUGGGACAGAAAUCAAGAUUAAACUUAACUUUGAUAAAAUGUUGCACUUAGAUUAAAAAAAAAAAAUCAAUUGCACAAAUUUAUAACCGAGGAGAUCCUCAGUCAAUAACUCUGGUAAAGGGCCUGAGCAUUUUAGUAGAUGACACCAUCAGUUUGCACCCCUGGUAAGUGGCUGAUAAGUAAAACCAGUGCCAUUGUAGGUGCACUCACAGAGAUAUAGUUUCCAGAUUCAAGGAAGGAGUUCAUAGUCAUGCCUGAAAUUUUAUGAAUCAUUCUGGGACACAUAUUCUAAGAAGGUCUUUGGCAAACAGGAGCACACACAGAAGGUAAAGAUGCCUUUAUGCAACAGUUAAAGAAAAUGAAGUGUGAUUGGCCUUGAGAAGAGAAGGCUAAAAGGAAACACAUUAACUUUUUCAAGUAUUUUGUGGAUUUUCAAGGAAAAGGUGUUUGACUUAUUGCAUGUAACUCUAGAGGAUAAACUAGGACCAUUGUGUGUGGAAAUUUUAGGAAAUCAUAUCACCAGUCAUUUUUGCUUUUGGUUUUCUUAACAAAGAAAAGAAAGUGUCUUGCAAAGUUGUGAGACAUUACUCCUGUUCUAACCAAAACUAUAUGACAGUCUUUCAUGGAUGUUGCCAAGACCCGGGCUAGAGUUCCCUUAUCAUCUUUUGAUUUUCCAUCAUGUGCCUGUAAUACUUUUUCAAUAAAUAACUAAUCAACAUAAGGGAUAAGUAAAAACGAGUUCUCUCCUGUGUCUGAAAGUGCAGAUUACUAAAGGAAUAUUUUGAUAAUAGUAUCUCCAAGAACCCAACAAUAGAAAAACAGCUGGAUUCUCUUUGCCUGAUAUGCUCCUCUCCACCCCCACCCCAGCAUAUCUGUGGAACAUUUCACAAGUCACAGACACUACUGUCCGGCAUUCUUUAUGACGGAGACUAAAUUGCCAUCUUUAGGGAACCUAGGGCAAACAGGACCUGUGGUGGAUGCUCUCCAUGGUGCUGAAUUGAGCAGGGAUUUUUUUUUUUUUUUUUUUUUUUUUUGGCACAGUGGUUAAGAGCUGGGCUGCUAACCAAAAUGUCAGCAGUUCAAAUCCACCAGCCGCUCUUUAGAACCCUUUGGGGCAGUUCUACUCUGUCCUACAGGGUCGCCAUGAGUUGGAAUUCGACUUGACAGCCAUGAGUUCUAUUUCGGGUUUUCCGAGACUAAGAUUUGCCUUCUCCUUAUGCCUGUCCUGAAAUGAUUCACAGUGCACCUCUUGCUUAUAAGUCUGCCUUUUUAUUAUGGCCCCAACCCAUACAGAUCAUAUCCUUACAUAAAGCCUUCUGAUAUUUCUGCCUGCCUUUGCUUAAAUCCAUCUGGAUACCCAGUCUGCCUUGACCUCAGUCUACUAACCUGUCUCUUCAGAAAAAUGAGUUAUGAAAGAGAUUUACAGAUUUGGGUAAUCAUAGUAGGUGAGACACCACAUUCUUAAAUCUAUUUUGACCUAUUAAACAAUUACGUUUCUUAUCACUUCCAAAGUCUCUCCUGGUAUAUAUUUAUCUAUUCUCAGUAAGCUUACACAUGGAAGUAACUAAUGGAUGAGGUGGAUAUCUGGCUGAGGAGGAGGAUUUUAGGGAUUUGAUGAUGCCACUGAUUGACUAAUUUAAAAAAAACUAAUUUUCUUCUCUUUUAAUUUCUCUCAUACAUACAAAGCACGGUUCUCAAUGGCUGGAAAUACUGAUAUAUUUAAGCUAACCUGGCUUUUCAUGAAAUGAAAAAUUGUGAGUAAAGGGCACCCCAUGACAGCUAGAAGAAACACAUUGACAGAAUAUCUUGACAAUAGAAGCAGAGAUCUGAUAAACUUGGAUGGAGCAUGGUGGACAGUCAUGGUGUGCAGAUAGGAAAAGGAUACUGCUGGACUAGCAGAGAAGGAUUCUUCUGUCCUACCAUUGGCCUCAACAGACAUAAAGAAAUUGACUGGUGAUGGGAUAAUUAUUCUCCGUGGACCCAAGCAACUGGGCUUGAGCUCAAAUGAGAAGAUCUUGGAAACCUUAGAAUUCAAAGGAGGAGAGGGAGCUACUAAAAGAGAAGAAGAGCAUGAAGCAUAAUAGAAGGGAAGAUCUGAGAGUCUCUGCUAUUUAAUGAUAAUCAACUUAUAUAAAAACUUAAACAGGAGACAAAGCAUUUAAGGUUCAUAAAUUAUAUAACCAAAUUUUCAUGGUAAAAUUCCCUGAAGAAAGAAUUCAUUCAGACUGGUUCACUAGUUAUAUAGAACAGCACUACACCCAAUCAUUCAGUUGGUAAAUACUUUCCGUGAUACAUAUGAGUUUGGUAGAAAGAGGAAAACAAUCCCUUUGAAAAUAUGGAAAAAAUAGAAGGAUUCAUGAAAUAUAACAAGCGAGGCAUUUAAUCUUUGGGAUUCAUCCAACCGUAUUUUCUGACUGAAUAGUAUUUUAUGUAAAGAACCUUGAGCAGUGAAGAAUUUGUACUUUUUCAUGAUUUAGACCAACCUUAUUAGCUUCUGGUCAAACUCAAGGUCGGAUUUAUUAGUCUUAGACAAAUUAUCCAAAUUAGGAAGAUUCACUAAAAAAGUAGCCCAUUUAUUGAAAAAUUCUCAUUGAAAGCUUUUUAUUUUUAUUUUUUUCUAAGUAGAAUAUUCCCCAGAGUUAAGGUAUUCUCAUGUCCAUUUGAAAAGCUCUUAUUAUUAUAUCUCAACCCAGUGUGCCCAAGAGGCCAAGGCCCAUGUCUCAUUAUCUCCCCUUUCUUUUAGCACUGCAGUUCUUUCAAAAGUUUUGGUGCUAAUUAUACUCACUCUGAAAGAAAACAAUAUCCAAAUGCUUCCUUUCACAGAAGGCCUCAGAUCAAUCACAUAGCCAGAAGAGCAAGGAAGCUGAAUGCGUCAAAGGAAGAAUUCCCCUGUAAAUUCCACACUUUAGGCAGGGCAUCCUCCCUAAAGCCCUCAGAGUAGACUAGUCCCUCCAGCUGUUCUGUCUUCUGUGGUCCAAUUGUUUCUCUGGAUGGUAAUUAACCUCAGUUGGAGGAGGCUAAAUAUCAGCAACAAAUAUUUGACUUUCUUCCAUGGAAGCACAAAUGAGGCUAUGAUAAAAACACUUCCUGUUCAUUACCACCUGAACUAGACUCAGACUUCUUCAUCUCUCAAGUAGAAUCGUAUGAACUACCUCUCAGAGUUGCUGUUGGGCAUUUAGGACAUAGUAGGGGUACAGUAAUUGUUCUCUCUCUACUUUCUCUUCAAGGCUAUGUUAAAAACACACAAGUAAACAAACCCAUUGCUGUUGAGUCGGUUUGACUCAUGGCAACCCCAUGCAUUACAGAGUAGAAUUGCUUCGUAGGGUUUUCUUGGCUGUAAUGUUUAUGGAAGAUUUCUUCCGUGGAACUACUAGGUAGGUUCAGACUGCCAACCUUUAGGUCAGCAGCCCAUCACAAACCACUUGUGCCACCCAGGCUCCUUUUCAAGAUUAUGCUAAGCACUACUAAAAGAGAGAACUAGAAGUAAGUUUUUGUUUCUUCUGGUUACUGUCACCAUGCUUAAACACCUAGAUAUCAUUUUCCCCUGAAGGCCUUACAACUUCUUACUAAAUCAAGUCUGUGGUGGAUCUAUCUCCUCCUGAGGGGAGCCUCCAGAGGGUAGCUUUCAUUGAAUCCAAUGAUCGAAUGUGAUAAAUAGGGCUGCUGCCCUAAGCUCUUGGUUUAUGCAGCGCUCCUAGAGAAAAGGAUAAGGCAUACCCCCAAGGGAAAGCCAGAUUUGGAGAGGCAAGUGUGAACUGAUUGAUAUGAUCAUAAAUUUAAAAUUUAUUAAGGAAAACAAAAUCUUUUUCAAUGGCUACAACAAUAAAAAAAAAAAAUAGAAGGUGGGAAAAUAAGAUUUAAAAGUGAAAGGUGUGUGGGGAAUGACUGCUAAAGGGUACAAGGUUUCUUUUUGUGGUGAUGGAAAUGUUCCAAAAUUAUAUUAUGGUGAUGGUUGCACAACUCUUGAAAUAUACUAAAAACCAUUAAAUUGUACAUGUAAAUGGGUGGAUUUUAUGGUUUGUAAAUUAUGUCUCAAUAGAGCUGUUAAUUUUUUUUUAAAGUGGGAGGAGAGGUGAUAUUCUCCAAUAGCAUAGGCAGUGAAGACAAGAAGACUUAGUUGAAAUCCCUAUGGCUUUGGGUGGCCUUGGGCAAGCAGUACUUCAGUGUCUCUCCUCUAAAAUGGAAAUAGGAAGACCUCAUCAUAGGCUCGUUGAGGUGAGGGUGAUUGGGAUAACAUAUGUAAAACAUCUGCCAGAUACUUAUCUUAGACAACCAGCUGCUGUAUAGUGGUCCGUAGGGUUUUCACUCCAUAGGGUUUUCACUGACUGAUUUUUCAGAAGCAGAUCACCAGGCCUUUCUUCUGAGGCACCUGUGGGUGGAUUCAAACCAUCAACAUUUUGGUUACCAGCCGAGUGCCUUAACUGUUUGUACCACCCAUGGACUCCAACUUAGAAAGCCCAUGGUAAUGCCAGUUAUUAGGAGUGAGGGGGAAAAUGUUGUGGUAUGGAGGUGGUAGUAGAAGUAAGUCUUUAGUAUAAAAAGUUCUAAGCCUGUGAAAAGCAUUUCUGAACAAAUAUUAGACCAUCCUAUUUCAGGAUAUAUUUCUUCCCUCAAAACUGUAUUAAAGGGUGUGGUUGGUUUUAUUGUGUUCCCUCAGUGAGCUCUCUUGCCUCACCAUUUCCCUGGCUGACCCGGAGACUAAAUCAGCACAUCCAGUUAUACAAGAAUAUGGUUGAAAAUCAGACACAAUCCAGAAACCCUUCAAGGAAAAUAGGGCAGUUCUGAUCUUUAAAAAAUCUUCCCCCCUGCAUUCCUUUGGAAAGGGAAAACUCAUACAAAUGAGAAGGUACUGAAAUCUAGCCAUAUCUCAAUUGGCUUACAAGGGCUACCAGCAGAAUCCAUGGCUUUGCAUAAAAUGAAAAAGCUGUGCCAUCAGAGGAGAGUCCUUGGUGGAGAGCUAGACCAGGGAUCUGGGUGGGGAGAGUGCUCUGGGAGUCCCAGAACCAGACAGGUGGUGCUUGGGCUAUAGGAAGCCCCCUCCCCUGACCUCAGAUUCUGUGCUUAUUUAUCCAGUUCAUUGUAAGGUAGCAUUUAUCCAUUAUAAAGACAAAUGAGGUGGUCUCUAUCAUAAAAGCUGGAAUUCCUAUGGAAAGACAGAGAAAAGUUCAGAAAGAAGUUAAAUAAUUACAGGUUAUACCAAAUGAUGAAUAAAUAAAAGGGCUGAAAAAGAGGAUCUUUUUCCCGUGGGUCUGUCGGACCACAUUAUAUCUAUUAGGCUCAUCGAGAAGAGCCAGUUUCAUCUCAUUUCCACAUCUACAAAGGAGAUAAAAAGCAGCUCACAUUGUGAAAUGCAGUCCAAGCCCUUCCUAGGAACACAGGAUAUUCUGGGUCAACUGAACUUUAAUUAUCCAAAUAGGUUACUGCUUAGGCUCUGUUUUGAAAACUCUUACAGAAGACCCUGGCUGUGUGAUUCCAAAGUAAGUUAAUGCAUGGGAAAUCACUAUGAAAAUAUUGUGUGCUUAUGUAGGAAUCAAUCUGAUGAUCAUCUCAUGAAAUGUUUUUUAAACAUGUGUUCAGGCUCUUUCCAUGACAGCUUUCAAAUAGGCAUAGUAUGUAUGCACAUGUGCAUGUGUGUACCCAUCCGUCCAUCCGUUCAAUCCGUCCAAUCCAUCCAACCCGUCCAUCCGUUUGUGAAGUGUAAAUUAAAUGAUGACUAUCUCACACAGGCUCCAGCUUUAAAAUUGCCAUGUUGGGUAGAUAGGGGCAACUCCUGAGACGAAGGCGUCCAUCGUAUAACUUCAAAGAACAAUUAUAAUAUUGGUCCAAUGCACAGAAUGUUUUUUUUUUUUUGCUCUUUAAUAAAAAUAUGUAGAAAAUAAGUUACUACAAUGCAAACAUGAUUAUUUAGUUUUUAUAAUUUAAGGAAAUUUACUUUGAAAAUAUAUAGCAUAUAUAAUAAUAAUAAUAUGCUACAUAUAAAAAUACAUAGCAUAUAAUAUAAUGGUGGCCCAGUGGUUAAGAGCUAUGGCCGCUAAGCAGAAGGUCUACAGUUGGAAUCCAGCAGCCCCUUCUUGGAAACCCUGUGGGGCAGUUCUGCUCUGUCCUACAGGGUCGCUAUGAGUUAGAAUCGACUCCACGGCAAUGGGCUUGGUUUGGAUAAUAAUAUAGUUUUUUGCCAGAUUGUAAUGUCUAAAUCAGUAGUUCCCAACCAAGGGUGAUUUUGUGCCCAAGGGAUGUUUUUCAAUGUCGGGAGACCUUUUUGGUUAUCAUAGCUGGGUGGUGAGGAAUACAGCCGGCAUCAGUGGGUAGAGGUCGGGAUGCCACUAAAUGUCUUGCCAUGCACAGGACAGCCCCCAACAGCAAAGAACUAUCAAAGAAUUAUUGUCCCUAAAUAUCAGUAGUACCACGGUUGGGAAGUCUGUCCUAAACCAAUAAAAAUUUUUGUCAUAAUUUUCAAGAUUUGAAGAUUUAGUUUUACAUGGCAAAACCUAUAAUUUAUUGUUAAGUGCAAUGAGUUUUCAGAGAAAUAAACUACUGGUAAAUAUUUCUUAUAUGUAGUGCUUUAUAUUCUGAUCAGAGAAAGAAGGUUUCUCUUUAUUUUAACAUACCUUUAAGAAAAUUUUUUUUUUUUUUUUCACUAGGAGGGUAGGGAAACGGAAAACUGUAAUAUGAAUUCCCUGCCUGGGGUGCUUCUCUGAGAGCCUUCACUGAAUGCAGAAGGAUCUCUUAUUGACAAAUAGCGUUCUCUUCCUCCAUUUGAUUCACCAAUGAUUAUAAAAUAUUAAAGCAUGAAACCUCAAUCCCUGCUCUAAUGAGAGUAAGCGCAUGAGUCUUCCUUUCUUCAUCCUACCUGAAACCCAGAGGGCAGUGCCCACACUCUGUUAAGUAAGUACUAAUACCUUGGGAUUCCUUGUGGGGAAAAUAUUUACAAAGGAUGCUUGGUGCGUUUGGCAUUCAUCUGAGAUGGUCUGAUUUCUAACAAAUGUUACUUUGUAUGUGUAAAAACAGUUUCUCUCUUCCAAAGGCUGACCCUGAAUUAAUCUGUUGAAAUCGCAUAUAAUGGUUGAGCAGCUAUACGCCAUCUGUAAAAUAUUAAAAGGAGACAAGUAAAAUGUAUGCUGUAGGCAACAGUGAAAGAUCAACUGGCUUAUUUGCAUUCAGAAAGCAGGGAAGUUGCUCUGGUGUAAAGACCACCUGUCUGUCAGCCACCGCCUGUCUGUCAGUUUGUUGUACUGUGGUGGCUUGUAUGUUGCUAUGAUGCUGGGAGUGAUGCCACCAGUAUUUCAAAUACCAGCAGGCACACUCAUGGUGGACGGGUUUUGGCAAAGCUUCCAGACUAAGAGACUAGGAAGAAAAGCCGGGGGAUCUACUUCUGAAAAUUAGCCAAUGAAAAUCCUAUGAAUCACAACAAAACAUUGUCUGAUAUAGUGCUGGAAGAUGAGUACCCAGUGUUGGAAGGCACUACACAAUGGCUGCUACGAUGACUCAGACAUGCCAACCAUCAUGAAGAAGGCUCAGGACCAGGCAGUGUUUUGUUACAUUAUACAUGGGGUCAUCAUGAGUUGGUGCUGACUCGAUGACAACUAACAACAACAAAGGUGAACAUUAUGAUUAUAAACAUAGGAUAUUGUUGUGUGCUGUCAAGUCGAUUCUGACUUAUAACCACCCUAUAGGUCAGAGUAGAACUGCCCCAUAGGGUUUCCUAAGCUAUAAUCUUUAUGGAAGCAGACUGCCACAUCUUUCUCCUGCGGAGCAGCUGGUGGAUUCAAACCAUUGACCUUUUGGUUAGCAGCCAAGCACUUAACUACUGCACCACCAGGGAUCCUUAUUGUGCCACCAGGACUCCUUAAACUUAGGAUAGAUUUAGGAUUUGACAAAAUUCUUCCAUGGGCUUAGUCAACUCAAUUCUGUGCGAUGGUGGUAGGCUUAAGGGCCAGCAUGGUGGUGGAGAGGUCCUGGGAUUUGCAGGCAACAGACUACCCUGUGUCAUUUGGAGAGUUUUACAUGUACAUAUAUAUGUAGGUAUGCAUGUAUACCCGGGCACUAGGUAUGUUCUUUACUACUGGAGUGUCAUUGCUUCUAGGCCCUCUUAGCUGACAAAGCAAGAAAAUAUAUAUGCAUAUACCAAGACUUGUACAUAUACACAUAUCUAUAAAUCUUCCUGUAUGUAACCAUCUGUAUUUAUAUUAAGCUAAGGAAGAGUUCAUACUAAUGUCUCCAAUUCUAAUCCAUUACCACAUGGAUCAUUCUAAGCCUCCUUCCUUUCAUUAUCUGUAAACUUCCACCCCUCUACCACUGAAUUUCAAUACCUUCAUCUUCCUAAAAUCUAUGAAGAAUCAAUUCAGACUCAUAGCAACCCUAUAGGACAAGGUAGAACUGCCCCAUAGGGUUUCCAAGGAGCACCUGAUGGAUUUGAACUACUGACCUUUUGGUUAGCAGCUGCAGCUCUUAACCACUAUGCCACCAGGGUUUCCAUAUGAAGAAUUUAGUGGUACUUAAUCAUACUCUGUGUUGAUUUAUACUCCAGGGGGUUCAGAGUUCAGUCCUAGGUUAUGGUUUGUCUAUCUAUAUGUAUGUCUCUGUGUUAAAUUUGUUACUCUUUCUAAGAAUCUCCAUUGCUAAUGCUAAUCAAGUAUUCAUAGCCUCAUCCUGGGAUAGUAAUAUUGCCUCCAAUCCAGUGCUCAGGUGUAUGGCAACUUUAUUGAAGCAGAACCUAGUAUGGAAAUUUGAAAAUUAGCCUGGAGCAGCCACCUUAUGACACAGGUAACUGUGGUCAUGUGUAUCACUUUUCUAAUUCAUAUUUGUUUUUAUUUUACACACAUUUCUAACCAUUUGGUAACAUAGGAUAUUUUGAAGACUCAGCUUUCCAGAUUGAGUCCAUACCCAGAGAUUAUAAACAGCCUAGAUUUACUUAAUAUUCUAGAAUAAAUCUCAGAGUUGGAGGACCCAGAAGAUAGUGUGCAUAAAAGUAUUAUUCUUUUACUGAUUUGGUGGCUUUUGAAUUCAGCAUGAGAGUAAAGGCGAGCAUGACAAUGAUAACAAUGUUUAAGGGUCAAGGAUGUAGAUAGUGAAGUUCCAUGUCCAAAUCUAGGCUCUGCUUAUCUCACAGGAAAGUUUAGAACUCGAAAGGGGGUAUGCAGAUAACUAUGAAAUCAUUUUUGGUUUUUUAUAGACGAGUGUUCAGACAACUUAAUAAUGUUGGCUUACGAUAGCGUCUGAGUGGCAGUAGAGCUUAGGGAGCCAGACCACAGGCAUUGUAGCUGGGAAGACCCUGGGACCAGACUUUGGCUGUGCCACUCACUGGUAGCGUGGGAUUUAUAACCACCUGAUGGCGCAGAAUAUGUUUGUACCAUGAGCUUCAUCCAUUCACUCAACAAAUGUUCACUAAGCAUCUAAGUGUUAGACACUAGAGUUACAUACUAGACAUGGCUGGUAUUAGACACUAGAGUUACAGAAUCAAUAGCUGAGACCAAGGCCCAGUCUCCUGGAGCUUACAUAUUCUAUAUUUUCUCUAGCAUAUUCUAUAUUUCUGUAAAUAUGUAAUAGAAAGCGACAAUACAAGCUAAGAAUAAACAAAGAAAGGCAGGACCAUAUUUGGCUACAGGGAUGGUAAGAGAAGCCCUUUGUGAUAUGAUGACAUUUGAGGUGAGGACUGAAGAGGCUAGGAGAGGGAGCAGGACAGGUCUCUGGGAAACUAUAGAUUCCGAGACCCUGAUCCAGGAGUUGGCUUAUUAGCAUGUUGGAGGAAGAGACAGGGGGCUGAAAUGGCUGUUGGGCAGGGCAAGGAGGAAAGGUAGCUGAUGGAGUCAGAAAUUUAGGCAGAAGCCAAGAUAAAAACUUUAUAUUUUACCCAGAGGAAGAUUGAGGUGGAGCCCUGGUGACACAGUGGUUAAGAGCUCGGUUGCUAACCAAAAGGUCAGCAGUUCGAAUCCAUCAGCUGCUUCUUGGAAACCCUGUGGGGAAGUUCUACUCUGCUACAGGGUCACUAUGAGUUGAAAUCGACUCGAAAGUGGCAGGUUUAAAAUUGGGGUGAGGGCAUUGGUAGUUCAGUGGGGGAUAUUUCACCUUCCAUGCAGGAGCCCUGGGUUUGAUUCCUGGCCAGUGCAGCUCUUGCACAGCCAUCACCCAGCUAUCUGUGAAGCUAUGUGUUGCUAUGAUGCUGAAUAGGUUUCAACAGAGCUUCCAGACUAGGAUGGACUAGGGAGACAGACCUGGUGAUCUACUUCUGAAAAUCAGCCAGGGAAACUGCUACAGGUCACAAUGGCCUGAUCCACACCGAUCAUGGGGAUGGCACAGGACCAGACGCUUUUCUAUCAGUUGGUUCUGGAGUCACCAUGGCAGGUAACAAUAACAAGAAGAUUGGACAUUUGUGGAGAGAAAUGACAUAAUCUUAUAAAAGGAUCACUCUGGAAUAUUUGUGGAGAAGAGACUAUAGGGGCAGGCAUGGUGGAAUCAGGGAGGCCAAUUAGGAGCCCACUGCACUGCUGCAGAUAGGAGGUGAUGUGCUUGGACCAGGUGAUAGCAGUGGAGGUGGUGAUGAGUGAUCAGACUCUAAAUCACACUUCAAGGUAAAGAAGGCAGCAUUUAUUGGUGGAUUGGGUAUGGGAUUUGGAGAAAAAGGAGUAAAAUAUACUUCAAGGUCCUUGGCCAUUUAUUAGAUGGAAAGACUAGGGAAGGGGAAGGUUUGAAGAUGGAAAUCAUGAAUUUAGGUCUGGAUGUUAAGUUUGAGAUGUCUGUUGAGACAUCUGAUUGGAGUUGCCGGGUAGGCAGUUGAAAGUAGACAUCUGGCUGCAGGGAAAGCACUGGGCUGUGAGACGGGUGGACAUAGCGUAACCUAGGGAGCAAGUACAGGCCUGGAGUCCCCAGGUGGUGCAGACGGUUAACAUUCUGAUCUGCUAACCAAAAGUUUCGAGGUUCAAGUCCACCCAGAGGUGCCUGAGAAGAAAGGCCUGGUGAUCUACUUCUGAAAUACCAGCCGUUGAGAACCCUAUGGAGCACAGUUCUACCUGACACACGUGGGGUCACCCUGAGUUGAAGUUGACUUGGUGACAACUAGAGAAGUGAAAAUCUGCAAAGACUGAGCUCUGGAGCGCUCCAGGUUAAAGAUUAUGAAUAUGGGGAGGAACCGGUGAAGCAGGAAAGUGGUGGAGUGAGUAGAGAACCUAAAGGGAGCGCGGUCCCACUUGCCAGGUGAGAAGAGUUAUCCCAGCGUCAUACACGAUGGAUGUGUUGAGUAAAGUGCGGACUGAGCACAUACCAUUGGGUUUAGUAAGCUGGAGAUGAUGGGAAAGCCACCGUUUUAUUUUGAACUAAAGAUAAUAAUAGCACAUACCUCAUAGUGUUGUGAGGAUUAAAUAAAUAUGUAAUGCAUGUGAAGCCCUUAGCACAGUAAAUGUGUAAUUCACGUUUGCUAUUAAAAUGGGAGGCAAUUUACAGGUCACUUCUGUGAGGGUUGGUUGUUUUUGAGCCUCCCAGGUGAUCUGAGAGAGGAAAAGCAGUUACUGUUCUUGUCCUUGUUUAUUAGUAAAGACACUCUCCUCAGAGAGUAAUAAGGUUGCUGGGACCACAGUUCUUCCCAACCUACGCCUCACUGAGUAUUUUCACAUCUAGCCCAAGCAUGACUUAUUUGUGCUAUUAGGGGGAAAAAAAUCUGUUUAUUGUAUUUCUUUGUUUAAAAAAAAAAUGAGUGGGUUUUGGAGCUUUUUCCUAAUGAAUCUUUAUAAAUUUCCUUAUAAAUCCUAUGCUUCACCUGUCCCCCACCCCCGCCAUCUGUAUAAUGCAUGUAAAAAGGAUUACUCAUUGCAUUAUCACCAGCCACUUUUUGGGUAAUUGAGAUGACACCAUCAUAAGAAAGAAACAGAGAAGCGUGGCUUACAACUUGGAAAAUGAGGCCCCUGAGUUGUUUACCUGGAGCUGGCAGCAAGCCCCUGGCUUCCUAUACGGUUGCCUCCCCUUCUUUUGUGAGAUUGUCCUAUUGUGCCAAGUUCAAGAGUCACACUCCAUCUCAACCCUGGUUGUUUAUUAGGGGGAUGGGAAUGAGAAGCUUUUAAAUAUUACCCAUUACCUGUGUUCUGGCCCACCAUAUGAUUUAUUUCAUCUGGGAUAGACCCAGACAUAACUUUUUUUUUGUUAAGUCAGGUUUAUUGAGAUCUAAUUUACAUACAGUAGAAGUCACCCUUUCUGAGUUUUGACACACACACAUAUAGCUAUGCAACCACCAUUCCAAUCAAGAUAUAGACCACUUCCAUCACCCCCAAAACUCCGUUGUGUCAUUUAGCACUUACCUCCCUGCCUCUGAUGCCCUGGCAAUCACUGCUCUGUUUUCUGUAGCAUCAGUAUUUUUUUUAAAAGUUAGGUGAUUCUAAUAUGCAGCAAGGGGUAAGGACUGUGGUAAGUACUGCCACCUAGGCAGCAUUUAACAAAAUGCUGGACACAAGGGGAAGAAAGCUGCCCUGUGCUGUUCAUACAUUGCAGGCAGUUCAUCAGUUAAUCUCAUGCCCGUGCUUCCUUUCUGUUAGGUGAGAGAAGACAGGGGUUUUGGUUGUUUAUGCUUGCUGUGCUGCCUCUCUGUUAUAGAAGUGGUUUGUAGGGAGAAGGGCAGUGGAGCGCGUGGAGGGAUCUGAGCAUUGGUUAGGGAGGGUGUUCCUCCUGGUACCUGCCUGGCUGGGCAGCAUAAGGCCGCCACCAGGUAUCUCCUCAGCCCUCUUUAGGUGCCUAGCACUGUUCAAUGGUGAACUCAAUAUACAGUGUCCCUGCUCACAUGGGGCGUACCUUCUAGUGGGUGGAGAUAGACACUGAACGAAUGAAAACAUAUAUGAAGAGGAAGAUACCAUGUAGUGGAAAAUGCUAUGCAGAGAACUGAAUCAGGGCAAUAUGUCAGAGAGGGUGUGGGGUCCAGGAAGGCCUCUGAAGAGGUCACACUUUUGCUGAGCCCUCAGAAGCACAGGAAAGCAGCCACGCAGAGCUAAGGAGUAUCCAGGCCAAGGGAAUGGCCAGCACAAAGGCUUGAAAAAGAGAUUCAUGUGUGUAGGCAGAAAGGCCAGUGUGCCUGGGAGUAGUUGGCCAGAAGGGAGUGGUGGACCUAAAGCGGGAGAGGCAGGCAGGGUCAGAUCUUCUGGGGCUUUGUAGAACAAAACCUAAGUGGAUUUCAUUCUAAGCAUGAUAGGCGUGUAGUUUGAAGCAGGAAAGUAACAUGUUCUGAUACAUAUUUAAUUUUACUUUGCCUGCUCUGGGAGAGUGGGUUGCAGGGGGUGGUAUUUGUAUUAGUUUCCAAGGGCUGCUGUAACAAAAUACCACAAACUGGGUGACUUUAAACAACAGAAAUCUAUUGUUUCAUCGUUUUGAAAGCUAGUAGUAGUCUGAAUUCAGGAUCUUGGCAGGGCUACGUUUUCUUCAAAGGCUCUGUCUCUUUAUUCUUGGUAGUAGGAAGUCCCUCUGCCUCUCUGCACACUUCUGUCUUGUAUGUCUCAAAAUAGAUUAACUAAAGAUACAACCUAAUCCUGUAGAUUUUGUCCUGCCUCAUCAACGCCUCUAAUUCUGCUUCAUCAGUAUCAUUAAAAAAAAAAGGAGGAAAAUCACAUCAGAUGACAAAAUGGUGGACAGACACACAAUACCAGGAAUCAUGGCCUAACCUAGUUGGCACACGUUUGGGGGGGACACAAUUCAAUCCAUAACAGGUUCCAAAGACCAGGUUGUUACGUGAAAAUUGGCGUUAUAUGAAAAUGAGGAUGACCACGUUAGAUUACUACAUCAUUACAUAACUGCCACAUUGCACCAUUACAUUAAUGCCAAGAUACAUCAUUAUUAACUGCCAAACCACUGAGAAUCACAGCCCAGGCAAGUUGACAUAUAGCCUUAACCAUCACAGCAAGCGUUCCUCUCACUUCGCACCCCGGCGUUGAUUACUGCCAGACUUAUGUCCUUAACGCACAACAUAGUCAGAUAGUAGAUUUUUUUACUGUUGUCAUAAAUGUGAAAUAUCAGAUAGAGAGAGUCGAUAAACGAAGAGUAGGCGUAUUACAAAAUUGAGCCGUCGAGAAUACAUGAAAACAAUUACACGUGCUGUGAAAUAUAAAUCAUGCCUCUUUUAUUUUCGACAGUAUAAUUAACUACAAAUGCCUCACUAGGAUAGAAAACAAAAGCAGGAAAACUUCUGGCCACGUUGGUGUAACUCAGCAGAUGAGAGUUCUGUUGUUGGAUCUGUACCUGAUACCGCCGCUCAGCCACGUUAGCUUGUCUGUUCUCAUAGCAAGGUGCCCACUGUACAUAACUUGAUACACAUACAUUUACUCUCCUUUCUUUGGUCGGUAUUUCAAGGGAUAUGACUUUUUGUUAGCUCUAUUUUUAACUUAUGUGAACAACUCAUCAUUUUUGUCUGUUUUGUUUAACUUUUCAAGUAAUGCCUCUGCCCCAUUCCCCGCUUCCUCAAUGACUGUUUGUUUUUCCCUUCCGCUCUGGCUGAAACUGUUGGGGAGAGGCUAUUCAAAAAAAAUUGCCAAAAAUCUCAAACCUUAUAAAUGUGUUGUAUCUUCCCCAGGCCUGAAAUAACACGACAACACUCCUCUUUCAGCCCCCUCUGCUCUUUAUUUACCCUUUUUUUUUAGGGAGGGAAGAUAUCACAGGUUAUAUUGGAAGAGUCCUCUACAGGAACACCCCAAACAUUGUCCCUGAACCCAAAUGAUGUAUCCUCCCCCUUGAGAUUCUCAGCAGAUAAUUCAUACAGCAUAUGCUGCAGAUAUUCAUCCAGAAACUCCUGGAAUGUCAGGCUGUUUCCAAAGUUCUGUUACUCUGAAGGAACCCUGGUGGUGGAGUGGUUAAGAGCUCGGCUGCUAACCAAAAGGUCAGUAGUUCAAAUCCACCAGCCACUCUUUGGAAACCCUGUGGGGCAGUUCUACCCUGUCUUAUAGGGUCACUAUGAGUUGGAAUCAACUCAGUGGCAGUGGGUUUGGUUUUGGUAUUACUCUGAAUGAUGUAUUGGUUCUCUUUUGUGUUUGCCUCCUGGCUUUAUCUUAGGGCUUUGACUCUUCGGUGAUUGAUAUAGCAACACACUGAGGAUCACCAGGCUUAAGCCAGCCAUUCCCAUCCAAAUGAGAUUCUCCACUGUGUAACCUUGAGAGUUUGAAGCUAGGAAUUGUGAACAAAGAGGUCACAGAGGGUAGAGUAAGCCAAAUUAUCCUGAGGGAUCUAUGUGUCUGUUCAGGAUACCUACCCACUUUUCUUGAAAGAUCAUAUAUCUGUGUCUACCUGCCCCAUAACUGAGAAUGUCCCCUUACUCACCACUUGUGGAGUCUGGCUUGUCUUUUUUUGUUUGUUUUUUUUUAAUAUUUUAUUGUGUUUUCAGUGAACGUUUACACAGGAAAUUAGAUUCUCAUUUAACAAUUUCUGUACUUAUUGUUCAGUGACUUUAGCUACUUUGCAAUAUAUCAGCAUUCUCAUUAUUUUUGUUUUGGUCGUUCUGUUUCCAUUUAUCUAGCUUCCCUGUUCCCUUUUGCCUUCUCAUCUUUGGUCUAGGGUAAAUAUUAACCAUUUGGUUUCAUUUAGAUGAUGUUUUCAGAAGCACAGUACUCACGAGUGAUAUUUAUUUUAUGGGCCAGUCUAUCAUUUGGCUGAAAGGUGACCUCUGGGAGUGGUUUGAGUUCUAAGUUUAAGGGGUAGCUCAGGGUGAUAGUCUCGAGGAUUCAUCUAGUCUCUACUAGUCCAGUAAGUCUGGCCUUUUUAAAGGAAUUCGAGUUUUGUUCUACAUUUUUUCUCCCAUUUUAUCUGGGACCAUCUAUUUUGUCCCUGGUCAGAACAGUCAGUAGUGGUAGCUGGGUACCGUGUAGUUCUUCUGGUCUCAAGGUAGGUGAUGUCCUCGUUCAUUGUUCAUCUAGACUGUUGAUUCUGUAGACUAAUUUCUUCUUUGAGUCUUUGAUUUCCUUCUUUCUCUUUAGCUUCAGACAAAUAGAGACCAAUAAUUUUAUCUCACAUGGCCACUCACAAGUUUUUAAGACCCCAGACGCUACUCACCAUACUAGGAUGUAGGACAUUGUUUUUAUGGUCUAUAUUAUGCCAGUUGACUCAGUUGCCCCAUGAGACUAUGGUCCUAAGCCCUCAAGCCCAGUAAACCAAUCCUGUGAGGUAUUUGGUUGUAUCUAGGAAGUAUCCAUAAUUGUGCUCCCUUUGUGCUUUAUUUUAUACUUGAAAAUAUAUGCAGCACACAUGUAUAUACAUAUGCCUACAGUCUGUCUUAUAUGCCUUCCUGUACAUAUUUAUGCAUACUUAUAUAUCUAUGUAACCAAACACAUAUUCUUUAGUUAUUACUGUUGUAAAAUGUAUAUCACCAACAAUUUUUUUUUUACAAAUUUCCAUGUACGUUGUUCAUUGACAUUAGUUACAUUUAUCACAAUUUGUCAGCAUUCUCAUUAAUUAUGUCUUUACCCUUCUAUUUGUGCUCAAACACUUGUCUUUACUAUGGUUGUGCUAUGCUCACUACUCCCACAUUCAGAGUCACGUUUCCCAUCACCAAAAAUAACAAGUCUCUAAGUUCUAACGCAUACUUACCUCUCCCCGCCUUCUUCCUGGUAACCACAAAUAUUGGCCUCUCUAUACCUAUUCUUUUCUUCUUAUAAAAGAGGGAUCAUACAAUAUUCAUCCUUAUAUGCUUGACUGAUUCAUUUAACAUUAUGCCCUCCAGGUCCAUCCAUUGUUAUGUUUUGUGAACUUGUCAUUGUUCUUUAUGAUUGCAAACAAUUCCAUUUUCUAUGUGUACUACACUUAGGUUGAUUCCAUUGUUUGGUAUAGUGAAUAAAGCUGCAGUGAACAUAAGAGUGCAUAUAUCUGGUCAUGUCAGUAGUUUUAAGGCUUUAGCAUAUAUUCCUAGGAUCGUAUUCCUAGGGUAUAUCCCUGGGAUUGCUGAAUUGUAAAGUAGCUUUAUUUCAAGUUUUUUUAGGAAAUGCCAAACCAUUUUCCAUAGCGAUUGUAGUAUUUUACAGUUGUAUCAGCAAUGAAUAAAGGUCCCAGUCUCCCCACAUCCUUGCUAACAUUUGUUGUUUUUUUAAUCAGUUCCAUUUUGGUAGGAGUGAGAUGGUAUCUCAUUAUAGUUUUGAUUUCCAUCUCUCUAUUUCUUCAAUGGCUAAUGAUCAUGACCAUCUUGUCAUGUGUUUGUUGGCUGCUUGUAUAUCUUCUUUGGUGAAGGUUCUGUUCCUGUUCAUUGCCAUUUUAUAAUCAAGUUUUUGUUGUUGUUGUUGUUGUUGAGUUGUUGAAGUUUUCUAUAGAUUUUGUUGUUGUUGUUACCACACACAGACUACUGUUCCAACCAUAACUCAGGAGCCCACAGUAGAUGAACAAGGUAGGCAAAGACCUUCCUGUUAGAAGUAUACCUUGUACAUUUCAGGGUCCUAUGGUCUGUCCAUGAUGAAUAAGGCCUACAGGUCAUUCAGGCUUAUGGUUAUAAAAUGACAUAUGGCAGCAUUGCUCUUUGUACUCUUUUCCCUUAGGGACAUUAUACGGACAGCCAAGGUCAGUGCAAAUGUGAUCUGAGUGUUGUUUUUCCUUAUUUCCCUUCUUAUACAGAAUUUUGACAUCACCUGUUAUAUAUUCUACUCUUUUCUCUGAGCUCCAACUUUCUAUUUCCAAAUAGCUUUUAUAUUUACAUAAUCUAAAUGACACAGGAAUGAGAGAGCCGCAGUAUCUAUUUCUCAUACCCACCAGCUAUCUUGGCGGAUGUGGCAGGCUGCACCAUGUCCUGUUCCUCCUUUACUGAUAAAGAAUACUAACAGGUAAUAAGUACCAUGGUGUAACAAAAAUACACUACUUCAGCUUGGUGAGUGGCUUUUCUUGUUCCAGAGCCCACUAUAAACAAAGUCAAUCUUGGGGAAGAGUAGAGAUUUUCAACUCUUAGAGUUUUGUUGUUGUUGUUAGUUGUCAUGAGUCAGCUCUAACUCUGGUGACCUUUUGUAUAACAGAACAAGACUUUGCUGGUCCUGUGCCAUCUUCAUGAUCAUUGGUAUGGUUGAGUCUAUUGUUUUGACUGUUGUAUGAGUCCAUCUCAUUGAGGGUUCCCCUCAUUUUUGCUGACCUUCUACUUUACAAAGCAUGAUAUCCUUUUCUAGGAAUUGAUCUUUCCUGAUGACAUGGCUAAAUUAAGUGAGCCGAUCAUCAUUCUCACUUCUAAGGCGCUUUCUGGUUGUAUUUCUUUUAAAACUGAUUUGUUCAAUCUUCUGGAAGUCCACAACAUAUUCAGUAUUCUUCACCAAUACCACAAUCUGAAUGCAUUCUUUUUCUGUCUUCCUUUUUCAUUUUCCAGCUUUUGUGUGCAUAUGAGGCAAUUGAAAAGACCAUGGCUUGGGUCAGGUACACUUUAGUCAUUAUUUUUGUUUGCCACCGAGUCAAUUCCAGCUCAUAGGGACCCUAUAGUCAUUAGAGUACUGUGUAUCAUAUCAUUUACAUAGUAAUAGGACCCAAGUACUAUACUGUUUAUAUUUUUUGUGUUUCUGAGUCAGUUAACAGUUUCAUUAUAAUGAUACUAAAUCUUUUGUGUGUGGAUUCACUGGCCCAUCCCUCUGUUCUCAGCUGAAUUAAUGGAGAACUGAGUUACUCUUCUCUGACACCAGGUCCAUAGCCAGGAGUAGCAAGACUGUGUCCAGUUGCUCUGGCUUCUGAUGGCCUGAUUGCUGGCACUGCUUGCUGGCAAGGAAAUGGUUCUGUCUUCCCAGGUAGUAGCUCAGUUAUUUUCCAGUUUCCUCAGCCAUAAGGGUUAGUGGAGAGAAUUGGCUGGAACAUAAUGAAAGAACAGCUGGUCAGUUUCUUGGCUGCAUUGGAGAAGGAAAUGCAAAUAUCAGUGUCAACUGGAGUAAACAAAAACUUUUAAAGUUAUUGAAAAUAACAGAAAAACAUGUCACUUUCUGCAUAUGCAUAGGAAUUGCUGGCAUCAGCCAUAUUCCCUUGAGAAAGUUUCAAACCUCUUCAUCGCAGAUAUUUUUGUUAUUGUUGUUGUUGUUACCUUUGAGUUGGUUCCAACUCAUAGAGACCCUAUGUACAACGAAAUGAAAUACUGCCCAGACCUGUGCCAUCAUCACAAUCUUUGCUAUGCUUGAGCCCAUCUUUGCAGCUACUAUAUCAGUCCGUCUCAUUAAGGGUCUUCUUCUCUUUUGUUGACCCUUUACUUAACCAAGCAUGAUGUUCUUCUCCAGGGACUGGUCCCUUCGAUAAUAUGUCCAAAGUACUUGAGACAAAGUCUCGUCAUCCUCACUUCUAAGGAGCAUUCUGGCUUUACUUCUUCCAAGACAGAUUUGUUUGUUCUUCUGGCAGUCCAUGGUAUAUUCAAUAUUCUUUGCCAACACCAUAAUUCAAAGGCAUCAAUUCUUCUUCAGUCUUUCUUAUUCAUUGUCCAGCUUUCACAUGCAUAUGAGGCAUUUGAAAAUACCAUGGCUUAGGUCAGGUGCAUCUUAGUCCUCAAAGUGACACCUUUCCUUUUUAACGCUCUAAAGAGGUCUUUUGCAGCAGAUUUGGCCGUUGGAAUACAUUGUCUGAUUUCUUGACUGCUGCUUCCAUGGACAUGGAUUGUGGAUGCAAGUAAAAUGAAAUCCUUGACAACUUCAGUAUUUUCUGUAUUUAUCAAGAUGUUGCUUACUGGUCCAGUUGUGAAGAUUUUUAUUUUCUUUUGUUGAGGUGUAAUCUAUACUGAAGGCUGUAGUCUUUGAUCUUCAUCAGUAAGUGCUUCAAAUCUUCUUCACUUCCACAAGCAAGGUUCUGUCAUCUGCGUAUUGCAGAUUGUUAAUGAGUCUUCCUCCAAUCCUGAUGCCCCAUUCUUCUUCAUAUAGUCCAGUUUCUUGGAUUAUAUGCUCAGCAUACAGAUUGAAUAAGUAUGGUGAAAGGAUACAACCCUGACAAACACCUUCCCUAAUUAUAAACCACGCAGUAUUCCCUUGUUCUGUUCGAACAAUUGCCUUUUGACCUGUGUACAGGUUUCUCAUGAGCCCAGUUAAGUGCUCUGGAAUUCCCAUUUUUCAAAAUGAUAUCCAUAAUUUAUUAUGAUCCACACAGUUCAAUGCCAUUGCAUAGUCAAUAAAACAAAGGUAAACAUUCUUCUGGUAUUCUCUGCUUUCAGCCAGGAUCCAUCUGACGUCAGCAAUGAUCUCCCUCAUUCCAUAAAAAAAAUAUCAUCUUCUAAAUCUGGCUUGAAUUUCUGGAAUUUCCCUGUCAAUGUACUGCGAUAACCACUUUUGAAUUAUCUUCAGCAAAAUUUUACUUGCCUUUGAUAUUAAUGAUAUUGUUUGAUAAUUGCCACAUUCUAUUAGAUCUCCUUUCUUUGGAAUAGUCACAAAUAUGGAUCUUUUCCAGUUGGUUGGCCAGGUAGCUGUCAAGGACAUGUUCUGCUCUAUUACAUAGGGAAGUUUCCAUUUUAUUUGCUGUGAAUUUCACUAGUAAAUGGGAAAAAUGCCACAGAUUAACUUUGAGGCCCUCAUUUUUCAUGAAGAAGCAUACCUUUUAUUCCGUCAUGACCCCAUUGGUAUUUCUCAUCAGUACCUUCAACCUUUACUUGGCAAAGUCCUUCCUCACCAUUUUACCAGCUUCUUCUUCUGUUCAACUUUCCAUUUUCAUUGGCCACUUCAUUCUCUGCAAACCCAGUCUUUUACAGUGAUCUUCAUUUCUUUUAUGUUCUUUUCCAUGUUCAGUUAAUUAAAAUUUGUUUCGCGAUAUUUCCCAAACAUGGGAGUCCAAACCUUGGUUAUAUCACUUCUCGGUUAGUGUCUUAGCUCCUUAGUGCUGCUAUAACAGAAAUACCGCAAGUGUGUGGUUUUAGAGAACAGAAAUUUGUUUUCUCAGAGUUUAGGAGGCUACCCACCUAGUGCCGUUGAGUCGAUUCCAACUCACAGCGACCCUAUAGGACAUAGUAGAACUGCCCCAUAGAGUUCCCAAGGAGCACCUGAUGGAUUUGAACCGCCAACCCUUUGGUUAGCAGUUGUAGCACUCAACCACUAUGCCACCAGGGUUUUCUUAGGAGGCUAGAAGUGCAAAUUCAGGACACCAGAUCUAAGGGAAGGCUCUCUCUGUCAUCUCUUCGAGACGAUGUCUCAGUUUUGUAGACCCGGCAUCCCUAGAUUGCUUGCUGAUCUCCAUGUGGCAUCUAAUCCUCCCCUCCAUUUGUGCUUGCUUCUCUGUGCCUCAUCUGCUCUUUUUACAUUAGGUUUAAGACACACCCUACACUGAUAUGGACUCACCAAUGUAAUAAACAAAACCCCAUUCCCAAAUGAGAUUACAUCCAAAGGUAUAGGGUUAGGAUUACACCACGUAUUUUGGAGGGACACAAUUCAGUCCAUAACAGUUUCUAGGUCUCUUCCACAAGUUUUUCUCCAACACCAGUGUUUUCCAUCUACUUUAAGAAGAGAAAAUUCCAUAACCAAAAUGCCUCUCUCCCUUUGUGGACAUUCUACUUUCUACGGAUUUUCUGUCUUUCCCUUGAAACUAAGCUCAACUACAACAGUUCCCGAUAUUUGCGUGACACCAGACGUCUUUCAAAGUUCUUUUUAUGCAUUUUCCCCUUUGAUUGUCUCAACUGUGUGAGCUUGUGAGAAAUUAAGUAAUUUACCCCCAAAAAAUACACUGUUGUAUACCAGAAAGGAGACUAUAACUUAAGAUCUCUAAAUCUCAGUCUAAUUUCCUUCUUCUACCCGGUGCAGCCUCUCUUAUUCCAUGUGGUAUUCAGAGUUAUUAACUGUUCACACCUUUUCUUGAUAUAUUGUCUUUAUUCUGGACCAUAGAAUAUUCUAGACUACCCACCCCUUUCUGCCUUGGACAUUUAAUAACCUUUCUUUGACUCUCCACCACCUCUAUACCGUUCUGACUCAUGGCAACCCCAUGUGUGUCAGACUGAAACUGUGCCAUAGGUUUUCAAUGGCUGAUUUUUGGAAGUAGAUCUUCAGGGCUUUCUUCUAAGGCAUAUCUGGUGGACUCGAACCUCCAACCUGUUACUUAGCUGCCAAGUGCAUUAGCUGCUUAUACUACCCAAUGACUCCUCUUUUCAGCUGUUUAAGAAUCAAUUCUGAUUAUCUUGGCCUCCAAUAUUUAUGCCCCAAUACCACAUCAUGGGAUAGAGUGCCUUGCAAAUCCUUUCCCACAUUCUGCAUUCUUGUCAGAAACCCCUGUCCUCAGAGACACUAUAUUUGCCUCAUUUCUUCAUAGACUCACAAUACCCUGGGCCAUUGUAUCUCCCUGCCUCUGGAGAAGGGGCAUUCAUGGACUUGCCUAUGGAAUGCCUGCUCACUGAAAAGUUAUAUUUCGGUGUCUGUUUGGUGUUUUUUUUUUUUUUCCCCAACCUAAACAAAUGUUCUAGACGUUGUUUUUGCUUCAUUUUCCCCCAACAUUCGUGCUAACAAAGCUUUGUUUUCAUAGAGCACUUUUCUCCUAAAAUAUUCAAAGUGCUUUGAACGUUAUCCAUCCUUGCAAUGUGCCUCUGAGGUAAGUGGGUGGCAAGUAUUUUUAUCCGUCUUUUAUUAAAACAGAGGCAGAAUUCACUGUGCAAGGAUCCCCUGGAAAGCAGAAUGAUCUGGACUUUGUGAAUUUAGGCUCUGCCUUAUUACUGGCCACCAUAAACCCACUCCUGGUACAGCCAUGCACAGAAGUGUCUCCUUUGCAGGUAGACUCACAUGCAUGCAUUAACAUGGUUUCUCAGGAGCCCUUGACUUGUGGAAUGUAGAAUCUGAGUAUAAAUGGAAUGAGCCCAACUUGGAAAUUGUUCUGAAAGAGAAGCACAUUCAGAACUAUGAAUUAGAUCCUACCCAUUCUUUUGAGCCCAAUUCAAAUGCCAGUUCCUCUAAAAAACAAUAAAUCUACCCUUUCCCUGGACUCUCGUGCCCUUUAUCUACUCUUCAUUUGAAGUAUACAACUCACAGUACUUUAUCCUGUUACUCUUCUGUAUAGAGCCCUGCCUAAUUCACCUCUGUGGUAGUAGUUCACAUAGUGCUAUGUACACAGUACGUGCUCACCAAAGGUGUUUUAGAACAGAAUGGAAGGAGUCAACCUUUAUUGUUUAUAACUGUCUUGGAGCCAAACUAUUUCUCCUAUUGGGAGGUCAUAACUGACUUGGAUGACGUAUACAAGAUUGACAUAGUUUGUCCUCUAACUUUGCUUCGUGUUUACCACUUGAGGCAUCAGUCCCCACGGGUGGUGCUGGGGAAUCUCUCUCUCUUAGCCCAAACCUUUACGUAUGAUAAUUGAGAAAGUAUCAUCAAACCAGCCAUUUGAUCAACAACAGCUCUGAGAAACCACCUUUGAGCACCAACCCUGCAGGAGACGCUAAGCAAUAUCUUCACUGUCUUCAGCUCAUGCUAUCUGCCAUCCAUUGGCAGGACAGAAGAGCCCCUGCUGGCUACUGACCUCCCAGGAAUAAUCUGGGCAUUGGAUGCAUCAGGCUCCAAAUUAUCUGUGCUGCACUGAUGAAAGGACCUUUAAGUAAAGAGUUGCUUGUUAAAAAUAAGUAAUGCCAAUUCUCCAGCCACCCCCUGCAUUUUCCUUUCCCUUGCUCCCUUAGAUGUCUCUAAAACGCACCAACAAAGCCUACAAAACACUGGUAAUGAAAAGGAAGGGAGAGCAAGUUCUUUUUGUCAUAAAAGUGAACUGUGAGUCAUAGCUCCUGACUCAUAAUAUACAUACAAAGGAAGCCAACCAGUGGGGGUGCACUCUAAUGGGGUGUUUCUGUGGUGACUCAUGCAGGCCUGGGAGGAAGAGGAGCCUGAAUCCAAACAAGUAUAUUUUUAAAUAUGGGAGGGCGUGUUUCCUGGUACAGUACACACUGCAUGCUUAUUUUAGCCCAGGCACUAAAAUGUGUGGGCAUGGUCUCCACGGAGCUUUCUCUUAUGGUCGUGUUUUGUUCUGUCGGUGGAGAGGGGGGUUUAAUGAUUGACUGACACUCACAUGGAUGUAAUAGUUCAGUGCCAUAUUUAAUGUAAUGAGGGGAAGAAAUUUAGAGUGCUAUAACUUCAGUAAUUUUGCCCCAUUGGACAGAACCACUUCACAUCUCACCAUGCAGUACACCAAAAUUUAUUGAGCCCCUACUGUUUAUAAGAAACCCUGGAUGGUGCAGAUGGUUAACGUGUUCUGUUGCAAACCAAAAGGUUGGAGGUUCAAGCCCACCCACAGGUACCUCAGAAGAAAGACCUGGCAAUCUACUUCGGACAAAUCAGCCACUGAAAACCCUGUGGAGUGCAGUUCUAGUCUGACACACAUGGGUUCGCCAUGAAUUGGAAUUGACUUGAUGGCAAUUGGUUUAUUGUUUAUUAGGAAUAGUGGUAAGUGCUGAGUAUACCAGGACAGAGAAGGCGUUGUUCUGGGCCUCAAAGGUCUAAGAGUUAUUCUGAGUAGACAAAAAAGCAGGCAGGUAAUUGGAAAAUUGACAGAGGGUGAGAUGAGGACUCUUAGAAGGGGCAGCCUGCAGGUAAUGGAAGUAAAAAGACUCCUUAGAGGUGUUAGCAACUACCCUGUAUCUUAAAGGAAGUGUAGGAGUCAUCCCUGAGAGGGAGAACGGACAAAGACAGAAGAAACAGUGUUUGUAAAGUCUAGAAGUCUUGCAUACAGCUCAUAUUAUUUUUAGCUAUUCAGUUUUGUUUUUAAUAUUUUGAAAUGUGUUUUUUCCUCUCCCCUGACCCGUGCAUUCUGGAAUUUUCAUUUUCAAAACUAGGGUUCUGAAUCUGACUCAUUCUGGGCCAGGCAGAGUCCACGUCGUGAUGAGAUUUUGUGGAGUUUGGACUUUAUCUUAAGGUGAUGUGAAGCCACUGUAGACAUUUUAGCAGAGGAGGCAUACGGUUAUGCCGGGUGGUAUUGAGUCAGUUGUGACUCACGGCGACCCCAUGUGUGUCAAAGUAGAGCUGUGCUCCGUAGGGUUUUCAAUGGCUGUUUUUUCAGAAGUAGAUUACCAGGCCUUUCUUCCAAGAGGCCUCUGUGUGGACUCAAACCCCCAACCUUUCUCUUAGUAACCAAGCAUGUUAACCAUUUGCACUGCCUAGAAUUGGAUUUUAACAAGCUCCCUUUGAGGGGCAGUGAGGAAAAUGGAUCAGUUUUGAGCCUGAGACCAUUUUGAAGCCGUUUGUCAUAGCCUGGGAAAACAAUGAUGAGAACCCAAACCAAGGGCCACCCCGUAAAAAAACCCAGUGCCAUCGGCAGUGAUAGUGAAAAAGGAAAGGAGCAGAUAUAUAUUGAACAUAUUAAGGUGACUGAGAGAGGAGUCAGGGCUAACCAGGGAAACUGAAGGUAUAGGGUGGGGAACCAGUAAGUUUUAAUAGGCCACAAAGAUGAUAAUGAGUCCAGUUUGAGACAUUUUGAGUUUGAGGUGACUAUGGGACAUCCAGGUGCACAAGUACAGGAAACAGUUGUCUGUCUGAAACUCAGAGGACAGAUCUGGGCUCUAUGUAGACAUUUGGCAGCUAUGAGCAUGGAAGCCACAGGACCAUUCAGCUUCUCUGGGACAAGAGUUAAGACUAAGGAGAAAACGAAGAUGAGAAUAAAACCUUGGUCGGAGAAAAAAAAAGAAAAAACAAUUCUAUGAGGGAGGCUAAGGAAGAGUUUGUUAUGAAAGGACAUAAUGGUUGGUAAAGCAGAGGGUCAGUGAAAACAAGGAAAACCCUCCCUGAAAUAGAUUGACACAAUAGACAAAAAAAACGGACCCAAACAUUCCAACGGUCGUAAAUAUGAUGGGGGACCAGGAACAUUUCGUUCUGUCAUAUGUAAGCUCACCAUGAGUUGGAGCCAACUCAGCAGCACCGCACAGCAAGGAAGAGUGGCAAGAUCAGGAAGAAGAAAAAUUAUCUAUGUGUCUCUUCUCCAGCGUUAGUGGGCCGUUGUCAUUAGUUCAUUCCCCUCUGAGGUCUUGAUGGCCAGCGAAUAAAUUUGAAGCCAUUCCUGAGGAACUGUAUGAUUAUAAAAAAAAAUGAUUAUAGACACACUAAAUAUUACGUUUUUUCUUACUAAAUAAACAUGGUAUUAUAUUGGGUAUCUUACUAUAGUACAUUUCAAUGACCAUCUGAGAUGACCUAGGCCACUUAUAUAUAUAUAAAAAAAAAUAGCAAAAAUGCUGUUUUGAGAGAAUUGAGUAAUUUUUAAAAAUGAAAGCUCUAGAAUGCAUUUGUCAAGGGAGAGAAAGAAAUCAGUUUCAAAAUACUGAGAACAAAAUUGAAUGAGCAAACAAUAAAACAAACUCUCAGCAAGGAAUAGGAAUGUGUCUGAGAGAAUUAACUCUACAUAGAAGGAAGACCUGAGAAUUUACGUGAGAAUCUUCCUCCUGAGGUUAAAAGCAUUUCAUUUUUAGCCACACCCUUAGUUAGGUUUUUCAUUUGAGAUGGGUGUUGAAAUAGAUGGAUUCUUAUCUAAAAUGAUUUCUUCUUGGUGAGAGUUUAAAAAGAGAGAGAGAGAGGGCGUCAGUUAGCCAGCAGCCAAAGUAGCCCUUGUUGAAUCUGGUCGAGGGCAAAUCCAACUGGAGGCAAAGUCUGAGACUGACUAACAAACCACCUGAAAAUACUUACAGGGAUUUUAUAGAGACUUAAAGGGUUAAUUGGCAUUAUAAAUCAGCAUGACCAGGAACAAAAAAAAAAAAAAAAUUGCAAGCAUUCAGUAUAAGAAGAACUAGGAGAUAAUUAAAAAAAAAAAAACUUUACCCAUCAUUUAAGACUGAAUUCUUCACAAAUCCACAUU